GGAACAGAAAGUUCAGCAAACCUGAAAGUGUAAGAAACAGCUCAUGGAGGAGCUUGAAGGCCACAGAAGGAUACUUGCAUUUUGUUUUUACUGCCAUAAAGAACAAUUGGAGAGUUUCUUGCAGGUGAGUUACACAAUCUGUCUUUAUAAAGAGAAUUUUGGCUGCUGUGUGAGCUGAAGGGGGGUACAGCUCUGUGGGGGAGUAUGCAGUUAGCAUGAAUGAGGCCCCAGAUUCCAUCCCCAGCAUCCCAACAUUCCCACUCAUCAUAUGUCAUUCUGGCUGUUGUGUGCAGAAUGAAUGCAUUAUCAGGGAGUUGGAAGCAAGAGGGAAACAGGAAGCUCUUUGGGGGCAAGUGCAGUUACUCAAGUGAGAGAAAGGUCUGACUUGAUCCAGCGGUUUGAAGUGGACAGACAGAGGCAUGGACAGGUUGGAAAUAUAUUUGGGCUGUUGAGCCAACAGGAAGUGCUCUUAUAUGAACUCUUAUAUUGGAUAAGAGUUCAUGAAAGGGAGAUAUGGAGGCUGACUCUCAGACAAGGGGUUUGAGCAACGGCAGUGAGAUGCGGAAGUUUGAGGAGCUUCAGAUCAGGUGGGUGUUGCAAUCAACAAUUCUGUUUAAGUUUGAGACGACUAUUAGCUAUAAAAGCUGAAUUGUCAAGCAGGUAGUUAGACACUUCAGGGUGGAGGUUGGCACAAAGUUCUGCAUGACAGAUAUAAAUUGAGAGCUGUCAGAAUAUAGAUUGGACUGGGUACACUCACUUAAGGAAUGAGUAUAGAUGGAGAAGAUGUCUAGGUGGAGGCUUGAGAUUAGGGUUUCUAGAAUUAGCAAAUAAAAAUAGAAGAUACUAAGUUGAAUUUGCAUCUCAGAUAAGAAAUUAACACUUAAAAAAUAUGUUCCAUAAAUAUUUUUAAAAAUCAUUUGUUGUUUAGGAUAUGCAUAUGCUUAAAAAUCAUUUGCUGCUUAUCUGAAACUCUUAUUUUAUUGAGCAUCAUUGUAAUUUAUUUGGCAACUCUAUUUCUGUGUUUAGAUGACAAGCAGAGAAGGAAAAGAAAAGGCAAUGUGUGGCUGUGUAGCCAAUUUCUCCAGAACGCAGCCUCAUAAAAUAAUGCCUUAUUAUGCUCACAGAUUCUGUGGGUCAGGAAUCUGAACAGGGCGUAGUAGGUAUGGCUUGCCUCUGCUCCAUGAUGUCUGGGGCCUCAGUGAGAAGACUGGGAAGCUGGACACUAGAGUCAUCUGGAUAUUUGUGGACGCACAUGUAUGAUGAUGGAUGCUGGGCAGUUGGUUGUCAUUUUAGUUAGGGCCAUCAGCUGGAGCCUCUCCAUGUGGCCUCUGUAUGUGACCUGGGCUUUCUUCCAAUAUGGUGGAUGGUUUCCAAGGGUGAAAAAGAAAAGUCCGGGGAGGGGGGGCGGGAGGGAGAGAGAGAGAAGAAAGAAGAAAGGGGAGGAUGGAGAGAAUGACCCAAUCAGGUAGAAACUGUAUCAUUUUUAUGACCUAGCCUCCAAAGUCCCAUAACACUACUUCUACCAUACCCCAUUGGUCAGUGCAGGCACAAGUUCAAGAGGAGGGAAAAUCUUUACAUCCUUGACAGGAAGCAGUAAACUUCCAGGAGAGCUUUUGAGGCUUCUAUACUUCCUGUGUUCAGUCUUCUGAUCCCAGAGCACUCUGCCUCAGGCCAGUGCAGUAGGAAAAAAUCAGGAGAGUGAAAGCUAAGAGGAGACACUGUCUCAAGAAGGAGGGAAUGGGGAGCUGAGGAAAGGAUGCCCAGUGCGUGGAUGCACGUGUGUGCACCCCCUGUGGCUUGUGGGGGUGACAGGCAAGGUCUGGAGAGGGUGGGUGUGAAUGAGGAGGAUACACGUGUGCUUGUCUUGGUCAGUGUAAGAGAAAGCUUGCUAAUGAGAAAUAUAGUGAGAAGAGAGAUUGCACCUGUGGCCAGGCUGGCGCAGCGACGGUGGAGAGAGCAAAGCCCGGCAGGGUAUGGGGGCUUGGUGAAGACUGGCAGGGAGAGGAAAUGGAAAAGGAAUGGCUGAGUGGCAAGGAAAAUGGAAGCACAGAACCCAUUGAGGAGUGUCUUUGAAAUGUGUUUCAUGGGGCCUUAAGAUAAUUAUUCUAAGGAAAUAUUCCUAAGAAUGAAUAAUGCUAACAUUUUGUGGCGCUAAGAGGGAAAAAGUGCUCUGAAUGCUCCCUAAGUUUUCCAUUAUCUUUUAAAAAAUGUUCCCAAGCCUAGGGAAUAAUGCUACACAGCAUGUUUUUCUUCCUCUUGGCCUUGAGAAGUAAUUUUCAAUGUUGGCUGAUGUGUUUUGCGGUGUAAUUGGUCCUCACAUGCAGCUUGUGGCAUCAAAUUCAAGGUCCCCAGGAAUACAGCUUAAAGAAGGGAGCUAAGGUGAGUGAGCCCUGCCCACGUGGAGAGGGGACCAUGUGCCCCAUGGCCCUGGCUGGAGGGGGAGGAUGUUGGUCCUCAGGUCACCAUGACAACCAACCUACAUCUUUCAAUACAUUCAUGGUGAUCAAAACACCAGGGAAGCCAUAAUGGGCCAGUUUAUAGUCUGAUGGACUCUUUCCCCUUUAGGAUAACCUCCGUGCCCAACAAAAUGGGCAGCAUCUACCACUGUGUCCCCUAUGUGGGUUAGCAGGAUAAGAAGGAAAUGCUAUGGGGAAAUGGCUUAAUGGACUCCCUCUCCUCCCUGAGUACCAACAUGUAGGAAAAAUAUUUCUGGUCUAUCAAAUGUUACUUAGAAAUUGAAAAAGAAAAAAAAAAAAAAACCCUGCUAGUUAAUUUUUUUCUUCCAGUGGUGUGACCGGCUAAGCAAGUGGAAAGUAAAUUGUGUUUGGGCAUACAGACUAAGUCACAGGAAAUAAAGGGCCUUACCUGAGGUAACCGGCCAAGUCAGGAGAUAUUGUCGCUCGAGGCUCCUGAUUUCAGAUAACUUAACCCAUUAAUGAAGAAGCUCCACUAGGUCUUGGUAUAUGCUCUGGACCAUAAGGAGGGAUAGGAAGAAAGCAAGGAUUCACUUGUCACAUCUUUAUGGACCUGGACAUGGAAUAACUAAGGGGCUUAGUCAUGUCUCUGCCCUUGAACACCUCCUGUGUGGGUGGAUGUGUGCAGGCAGAAGCAGGCAGGGGGCUCCAGGGAGUCAAGGCUGGGGCAUCCCAGUCAAAGCCAGUCCUGGCUUUAAGGGGAAGAGAGGCAAAAAUGCAUGCUAUUUUAAAUAAUUUAUAGUGAAUAAUUUAGUCCUUUUCCAUUACCGUAACAUAAUGCCACAGCCUGGAUAAUUUACAAAGAAAAGAGAUUUGCUUCUUACAUUCUGGUAGGCUACGAAGUCUAAAGUUGAGGGGAUGCACUUGGUGAGGGCCUUCAUGCUAUAGCACAGCAUAGUGCAGGGUGUCACUGGCUAGAGACAGAGCAAGUGCCAGCUGAGGUCUCUUUCUUCUUAUAAAGCCACUAAUCUCAUCAUAGGGAUCCACUCUCAUGACCUCAUCUAACCCUAGUUACCUCCUAAGGCCCCAUCUCCAAAUCCUAUCGACCUAUGAAUGCCAAUAGGAUUUUCCACUCUCUUAAUUCCAUAACAACGUCAACCAAAUCUCAACCCAUAAAUUUUGUGGGUGGGGCACAUUCAAAUUAUCACAGUGAUUAAGGAGCAGACCAACCAGGGUGAAGGAGACCAUGAGAGCAGUGGGUUCCAGGAAGUGGAGCAGUUGUCAUGGGUUGGAUUAGUUUGAAAAGGCUUUGUGCAGAAGAAGCAGUUUGAGUUGGGCUUUCUGAGAGGAGGAUUUGAAUGGGGAUCAUCUGCCUGAGCAGAAGCAACCCAUAGACCUCCCCAUCCUAAAAAGAACACGGUCCACAUUUAGAAUCCUAGUAACAGCAUCAAUUUCCUUGGAGUAAAGAGAAGUUAACCUUCAAUUACUUACUACAUGUUUUCAUUCAGCUUUGUUAGGCACAUACUAAAAGUUCUAUGUUUUUUUUCUUCUCUUUUCUAAUGUAGAAAUUCUGGGAGUGAAUUUGUCUUAGCUUUUAGUCUGGAGAUAUUUGUUCAAGGAAUAAUGUAGACAUUCACCCUACAAUGUUGUGACCCUGUAUGAGUGACAGAUUGUCAGAGGAGCCCAGCAUCCUCUCAGGUCAUGGUUACAUGGGAGCACCAUGGAAAAGGCUCCUGGGAUCUCUUAGCAUCCUUUUUACUUUAGAAGAAGUAAUGGAAAAUGAUGGCUCCUUGAUAUAAAAGGCACCUCAGCAACAGGCCGGAGUUUCUGAAUAUUGACUCUGAACCACAGGGGCAUCACCCCACAAAAGGCAUUCCUAAACUUCCACAUUUUCACUCUUAAAAAUUUCAAAAGUUCAAGAGAAUAAAAAGAAAAGCCACAAACUUGGGAUAAGGUAUGUUCACAACACAUAUCUGAUCAAAGCCUGCUAUCCAAAGCAUGCAAAACUCUAGUUGAUAAGAAACAACCCAACUAAAAGUGAACCAAGGCCUUUAACAGAUUCUUCACCAAAAAAGAUACACAAGAUGGCAAGUAAGCAUAUGAAAAGAUGCCCCAUAUAAUAUGUUAUCAGGGAAAUGCAAAUUAAAACAAUGAGGUACCACUGCACUUGAAUUAAACGGCCCAAAUCCAAAACAAUGACAACACUGAAUGCUGUCUAGGAUUCGUGACAGCAGGAACUCUCACUCAUUGCUGGUGGNAGUCCAGAAUUAUUGAAAGCCCAAUACAAUGAACCCUUGUACUCCCUCUACCCAGAUUGCAUUGCUUUGACUUUCGACACAUUUAUGUGUCUUUGGGUAGAGAAGAAAUUGAGUUAUAGACACCAUGACACAUCUGUUUAUAUUUUGAAAAGCGUCUCCUAACUAUAAAUACACUGUCCUACAUAACUGCAAGAGAAUUUUAAAAAUUCCUCAGUGUGACCUAGUAUCCAGUCCAUGUUUAAAUUCCUGCAGCUGUCCCCAAAAUGUCUUUCUUAGAUGUUCAUUUUCUUUGAAUCCAGAUCCAGUCUCUCCCGUUGUGCCUGGCUAUUAUGAUUCUUUAAGUUUUUUAAACCUGUACACUUUUGCCUUUUUUUUUUUCAUGACACAUUUUGUUUUAAAAAUCAACAAUGUUGAGAUAUAAUCAAAAUACAAUAAAAUGCAGGCAUUUUCAUAUGUUCAUAAGUGUAUAUAUAAUUGUAUAAACCAAUGUAACCAUCAUCCCUGGCAAGAUAAUUUCUGUCACCCUGAAAGCUCAUGGGUAUCUCUCUACAGUCUCUCUCUGCUCCUGGUCCCAAGAAACCAUUGAUCUGCUUUCACAUUAUCAUAUUGAUUUUCUGUAGAUUGGUUGGCUUGUCUUGUAGAACAUCUUACAUGUCCAAUUGUUUCCUUGUAGUGUCAUUAACCUGACACUCUAGCUAUUGUAUUUUCUGUGCACUGGAUGUUAAGUCUAAACGUUUGGCUAACUGCAAGUAAAAUGCACAUGGAAAAGAAGACUUCAUAGGUGAUACCAAAUACCUCUUGUGGCAUCACACUGGGAGGCAUAUGAAACCAGGGUGUGCCAUUGGUAGGGACACUCAGCUUGCUCCCUUGGGUGAGCUAUUGAUCAUUAGGUUUUUCUUUGUAAAAGUAUAUUGUUAUCUUGAAAUGAGUAAGUAGUUUUCCCUUAUCUGGGGCGUUGCUUUCUAUGGUUUCAUUUUCCUGAAGGCAACCAUGGUCUAAAAACAUUAAAUGGAAAAUUCCAGAAAUAAACAAUUCAUAAGUUUUAAGUGACAUUAAAUUGUUAUAAUUAUUGUAUUUUAUUAUUGUUGUUGUGCCUAGUUCAUAACUUAAACUUUAUCAUAGCUAUGGAUAUAUAUUUUUAAAAACCCCAUUGCAUGUCUAGGAUAGGGUACUAUCUACAGUUUCAGACAUCUUUUGUUUUAGGAAUCCAAGGAACAUUAUGGAACAAAUACCCCCAGAUUAGGGGGGACUACUGUAUGUCAGUGUGUUAGUUGGCUUUCUGUCAUUGACAAAAUACCAGAGAAAAUCAACUUACGGGAAGAAAGACUGAUUUUGGCUCAUAGUUUCAGAGGUCUCAGUCCACACUCAGCCAAGUCCAUUGCUUUGGGCCUGAGCUGAGGCAGAACAUCAUGGCAGAAAGUGACAGAGCCAAGCUGCUCAGCUCAUAGUAGCCAGGAAACACAGAGAGAUGAGGUGGGUUAGGAACAACACACAGGCCCAAGGUUUCACCCACAAGGCCCUAUUCCCUCCAACAAGGUUUCGAAUCCUACAAUUUCCACCACCUCCCAGUCGUCCAUUUAGCUGUGAACCUGUCAGUGAAUUGAUGGGUUAACUGGCAGCCUAGCAAAAGAGUUUCUUGAUUUUUCAAUUAUGUAGGAUCAUUCAUUUGAGUUUUAGUUAAGUGAUAAAAUUUCAAAAAACCUGUUGGGCUGCUAUGGCCUUAUGGGAUUUAUAAAAUAAUAGCAUCCUGUUCAAAAUUGGAACUAUACUCCAAGCAUCCUAAAACAAUUAAAGGGCACAAGGUCAAUUCAGAAUGUUACAUGGAUUAUUUUAGAAAUUACCUUAUUCAUGUAUUUCAGGAUAUUUAUAAUGUAAUUAUAAUUCAUUUAUGCACUAAAUAUUCUGCCCUUGAAAUCCUGUCAUCAAGGGAUCCAUAGUUAAAGAAUUAAUGUAACCACUUGCACUGCCCAAAGAGAGGACCACAUUUUGCAUGCUUUAUUCUAGGUGACUCCCAAUAAAAAUGGACCCUGUUCCCUCAGCAUUAGCUCUUUAUGAACAUGCAUGGUGAGGCCAAGGAUGGAUGACUAUUUAAUGAUACUGAGUUUUACAUGAGGGCACUGGAGUCAGAAACAGUUGCAAAAUAGGGGAAGGAAGUAGCCUGGGGCUCCGUCUUCCAGAAAACACCAAAAUACACCUGAAGAACUUCAGAUGUUCCAAGUUCUCUUUGUGCUGUAUUGUGAGUGAGUCCCAAGGAAAGGUCAGCUAUAAUUUGAAAGUGUUGCAGGAAUAAUGUUAUCAACUGUGGGACACAGUAAUGAGGAGGGAAAGGAUUCCUCCAAAGUGGCCUUCUGCUCCUCACUGGUUGAGGACUUCCAUUUUUCUCUGCUGGAUUAUGUCUUGACCCAAGAAACUUCCCACCAAAUUCUUAGUGACAGAACUCAGCAUAAGUGGUGUGUGUGUGUGUGUGUGUGUGUGUGUGUGUGAGAGAGAGAGAGAGAGAGAGAGAGAGAGAGAGAGCGCGCGUGAGAGAGAGAGAGAGCAUGCAUAAGCAUGUGCAAAGAUGCAUAUCCAGGAGCUCAACUGGCUUGCCAGAGAUGUCCGCAGGUAUAUAAUGCUGUUUGUUGGAUACUGUGAAUCCAUGGGUACCUCUAUCCAUUUGAGAAUAUAGCAAGGUCCAGACCUCUUCAUUAUAGUAAUAUGAAAUCACUAACUUAGGUGCUCAGAGAGCAAAAUGAUGAACCAGAUAGAGAUCUUGACCUGGAGGAAUUCAGAAAAUAAAGUAGUGGAGACCUUGAUUAUGCAUUGAAACUGCCUGGGGACCUUUAAGAAAUGGUGGUCCUGGUCUCAUUGAGCAGAGGUUCUGACUAAUUUGGGUCCAGAAUAUGCUGUAAGUACAAAGACUUGAAAACUCCUGAGUGGUUCUAAUGUGCAUUGCAGUAAAGAAAGGCAUUUGCCAGUAAAUAGAUGGAGCUAGAGAAUAUCAUGCUAAGUGAAAUAAGCCAAUGCCCCUCAAAACAAAGGCUGAAUGUUUUCUCUGGUAUGCGGAUGCUAAUUCACUGUAAGGGGGAUGCUAGGGAAGAAUAGAGUUACUUUAGAUUAGACAGAGGGGAGUGAAGGGAGAGGAGAGGGUAUGAGGGUUGGAAGGAUAGUAGAAUGAAUCAGACAUUAUUUCCCUAUGUGUGUGUGUGUGUGUGUGUGUAUAACUAUACAACCAGUGGGAUUCUAUAUUAUGUACAACCAGGAGAAUGAGAAAUUAAACUCCAUCAUAUAUGAUGUAUAAAAGUGCAUUCUACUGUCAUGUAUAACUAAUUAAAACAAAACAAAGCAAAACAAAAAAAGACAAAGCCCCCAGAGAGCCAUAAACUUAGGAGCAGUAACAUCUUCAGUCUCUAGGAGUGCUAUGUAGACUGUGGAAGUGUACAUAUAAUCAGUAGGGAAAUGAAUACAAUUUGAAGCUAUUGUCCUCUUUUAUAUUCAGGUACGUGUGUACAUAAAUACAUACAUAUUACAUAAGUAUCACAUUCUCAUAAUAGAUCCAGGGAUAUGAAAAUAUUCAAAACAAAACACCUGGUCCCAUAGUGACUUGAUUGAUGUUCAAUGAUUCACUAGUCCUCUUUCUAUGUUUGAAGCACAUUGACAUGUAGGCUCCACCACAUACUUCAUAUGUACUCCAUAAGCCUAUGGAGUUGAGAUCAGGUUAUCUACUUUGGUUAUAGUGGUGUUUACCUCCAUGUUUUGAUGGCUAUUUAGUGUCAUUGGCUAUUUGAUGUGCGUAUAACUCUUUUAUUUCUUGUUACUCUUGUUUUCUGUUUUUGAGAGAGAAAGAGAGAGAGAGAAUUUUUUAAAUAUUUAUUUUUUUUAGUUUUCAAUGGACAUAACAUCUUUAUUUUAUUUGUAUGUGGUGCUGAGGAUCGAACCCAGCGCCCCACACAUGCCAGGCGAGCACGCUACCGCUUGAGCCACAUCCCCAGUCCCAUCACUUUUGUUUUAAUUGAUACAAAAAUCUCUUUAGAGCAGUAACAAAACAACCCCUAUAGUUAAACAAGCAAAAUUAAAACUACAACUGAGAGUCCUCAUAUGAUUCCACAAAAAAAAAAACAAAAAAAAACUUAGCUUUUGAUUUCCAUGAAAACCAGAAACUUUUUGUUUUGCAAUGUAGAACUACUUCUGACUUAAUCAAACACUCAGGCUGUAGGGCAAACAAUUGGAGAAAUGUGGUUCUGGAGAAUAAGUAUGGUUUCUAAUGGAAACUAUGAGAGGAACAGAGUCUGGACAUUUUAGAGUGGGAGGAAAAGGAUUAAGAAUGAUUUAUCAGAGUGAAGCAAAAAGGAACCUGAAAGGGGUAAGGUAGCAAGUUGAUACUGCAGCAAUGCAAUGAAUUUCGGAUUUCCUCUCUUAUUUCAUUUUGAGAUGAGUGAGGUUACAUACAUGUACAUCACUUGGGGUGACUAAGCUGAAGGUGGAGUUGAAGGAUACUGUCUUCCUCCUCCAUCACUGGCAUGAUGAACAAGUGAUGUCUACGUGGGAAUCAACUCAGGAGAUGCAGUUUCGUGAAAUCACCCAUGCUAAUGUGCAAAGCGGCAACUGCUUCUGCAGAUGCCUUGCAGGGCAGUGAAGCCAGCAAGUAGGUUAUCCAGGCUGGAGUGCAACUGUUUAAGCAUUAAAUUGCAUGUUUAUUUCAUGGAACAUUAAAAACCAAAUGGUGCCCUGUCAUGCACCGCACCUGUGCCUCUUGUUUGGUGUGGAAAUGAUUGCUAUAGAACCUGAUACAAUGCUGAAUUAUCCCGGAGCUGACAGCAGAAGUUGUGAUUCACUAGAGAAACCCUGAUGCCUCAGCCAGGCCCAAGCUAGUUAAAGUUAAAUACAAUUGGUUUUCAGGUUUACUACACUGAAUGUGUUUAUUCCAAAACAUAAGAUGCUUGGGGGUUUUGUAAUGCACUAUGAUUACUUUUUAGAGAAGUUUGUUUCUUAAAAACAGAUGAGAGUAAAGAAAAACAGUCAGCAUUUCUCUUUAGGUAGUUGGACUCCCUACUAUUGCAUCUCUCCUGGUAAAAGUGGUGGCCUCCCUGUGGCAGUAGCUUGAGGGAGACAAACUGGAGAGGGUUUAGUGGAGUCAGGAAGUCCAGACAUAAUUUGAAGGCUCCAUAUUUUACCACAUGCUGUUCUUGGUAGCAAAGGAUUUGUCAAGAUUUGUUAUUUCAUUUAAGUCUGGGAAUUAAGCAUGACUCAAUGCAGAUGGCCAAGUUCUGAGCGGGAAUGAGAAUGGGCAUCUGGCUAGUUUGAUAUAGCCAAGUGGACUUUCCUUAUCAAAUCUGACUGUUGUGAGCCAGGCCAUUCUUAAAUACAUAACCCCUGGUCCAUAAGUGAACCCACCCUGACACAUAGUAAGGGCCCCUCUUAUCUUAUCCCCCCGUCGCCCUCCUCUACCCCACAGACCACGCACCAUCACCUGGCAGGAGCACAGGAUCAUCUUGCUGGGAGAUCUCUGGCAUUCGGAUCCACAGUGAGUGGUAAGGAGGGGAGGGGGUGCUUCAUCUGGUCCCAACAGGUUAUGUUCCCGCAGAAGGGCAGAGCCCAACAUAGAGAGCGAGCAGGAGCCUUUCCUCAGGAACUGGGGGGCAGAUUUCUGUGAAGGUCAUGAGGACAGGUGCUAUGUAUCAGGCUACUGUAAGUGCUCAGUAAAUGUUCGCUGAACAAAGAAAGAUAUUACAGAGGGACAAAGAGACAUUUGAUGAAUAAAGAGAAGAGAAAAUGUCUUCAGUGGGCUUGUAUCCCUUCCAGAAGAAAUUGUAUAUAGUGUUAUUCAAAAAUGUUAUCAAAAUAUCCCUCCUAAGACAAGGAUAGAGGGAAUGCUUAGCUUAGGGGGGCCUGGAAUGGAGGCUUGGGGACUAUAAAUCACAUCUAAUGAUAUGCAGCUGAUGGUCCAGAUUCUGACAUAGCUGUCUCAUGCCUGUCUUGAGGUCACUCUGCAGGAUGAUGUCUCUUGGACCAACUCCUGGACAGCCCUUUUGUAACCCCCAGAAUCCUCUAAGCCUGGUAGACCCUUCAAGACCUAGACCUGAGGGAUUAAUUAAUAAGCUGUUUGUAAUCAAAAUAGGCUAAUGAAAGUAAAAUCUUCUCCAAAACACUAUAAAUUGGGAUAUUCCCUUAUUUGGGCAGACUAUGUAAACGUGAGUUUAUUUGGAAGCAGGGGGACAAACCAAAGGAUCUCCUUAGGUUUCUGAGGUCCUAUGAGUUCACAACCUUUUUCAAAAUAUUUUAUGGAGCCUGGCGCGGCAGCACAUGCCUGUAAUUCCAGCAGCGUGGGAAGCUGAGGCAGGAGCAUCGCAAGUUCAAAGCCAGCCACAGCAACUUAUUGACAAGGCUCUAAGCAACUUAGCAAGACCCUAUUUCAAAAUUAAAAAAUAAAAAUGAUUGGGAUGAGGCUCAGUGGCUAAGUGCUCCUAGGUUCAAUUCCUGGUAUUAAAAAAAUUUGUAUAUAUUUAUGUAUGCACACACACACACACACAGAGUAUGGGUCUGGGAAUAUAGCUCCACAUGCCUAGUAUGUGUGAGAUCCUGGGUUCAAGUCCCAGCACUGCAAAAAAAAAAAAGAAAAACAAAAACCAAAAAAUAAGCUCCAAAGCCAAAAUAUUACUGUAGCCCAGCGCUAAACAUUUAAUUUGACAUUGUUAAUUUGUAGCUGAGGAAUCUGGGCCAUGGCAUGGUGGACCAUUUGCCCAAAGUUAAACUGAACAUCAGCCUUUGUCAGCUUUCUGCUGUCCUCUGAGAACAUUCCAAAUUUGGUGAUGUUCUGGUUUCCGACUUAUAAUUAGCCUCAAGAAAGUGCUGACAGGUUGCGCUGCUACAUUGAGGCCAGUCUCUCUUUCCCAGGAAUCUGACAUAAAGUCCCCAUUCCAGCAGUGCAUGACCCAGUUUCUUUCUCAUGUUCCUGGCGCUCUGGGGCUGCUGAAAGGGCCGGCCGUAGCUAACAGAACAGAAGCAUGGGCCCCAGCUCUGCUCCUGAACAGUGCCAUCUCCACUAGGCUGGGGCCCAUAUGCUCAGCUUCCUGGGGUCACUGAACUUCCACUUGCACCCCUGAAUUCAGAUGCAGUCCCAAACUGACACUGUGCAUAGUUGCAGGCUGCAAACAACUUAGAGGACCUAUGUUUCUAGGAGAAAUUUCCAGUCUAGAAACAAUCAAGGCUGUUUACCAUUCACUCUGGUCCUAUUUUUUUCCCCCUUGAUAUGGGGGAUGGAGCCCAAGGUCUUAUACAUGCUAGACACCUGCUCUAUCUCUGAGCCAUGCUCCAAGCCCCUUUACAAUUUUGUUUUGAGAUAGGGUCUUGCUAAGUUGCUGAGGCUGGCCUUGACUUUGUGAUCCUUCUGCAUCAGAUUUCCUGAGUCACUGAGAUUAAAGGCAUGUAUCACUGUGCCUGGGUUUUGGCCCUGAUUUUGAGAACUCUUCUUUGUAAAACACCCAAUACUCUGCACACACGUGCAUACACAUCACACAGUCAUACAACAUGCAUGAUAACACAACACACACUCAUACCACACACACAACACACACUCUCACAUCACAUAUAACCCCCAUACCACAUACCUAUGCACCCACAACAACACACACACACACACACACACGUAUCACAACACAUACCACAGUAAAACACCACCCCAGUGUGUGCCGUUCUCAGAUAUAAGGAAGUGGGUGCCAUCAUUUUUGGUGUCCUGGCUAAAGGAAGAAUUCACCUUGAAGAGAAUUUGACUGACACUGAUCGUCAAGAAAGUUAUGUCUUAAUUUUAUUUUCUUCUGGGAACUUUUCUUAUAUUCAAUUAAUAUUACAUGAGGAUGCCAUGUAACACAGGAAAUAGCACAACUUGAGUUUGAAUCCCAACGCUGCUAUUUACAGUCAGUUCACCUUGGACAAGUAGCUUAAUUUCCCUGGAGCCUCAUUUUCCUCAUCUGCAAAGUGAAAAUAAUUAUACAAACACCAACGUGUAAUUGUGAAGAUAAGAACCAGAGGUAUAGUGUGCUCACUGUGUUGUCUGGCACAUGAUGUUUAGUACACAGGUGUGUGGAGACAGGUUGAUGGGUGGGUGUCCUCAUCCUGCUUUGCUUUUUCGGGUCGGAGGGGCUGUACCCAUUCUCAACUUUCAUUUGGGACAAAGCCUCCAACUUCUCCGGGUACCUGGCAGCUGGAGAUUGCUAGUAACUGAGGGAUGGGUGUACAGCUUUGGGCCAUGAGCAUGACCAUUCUCCCAAGACAGAGAGAUUCUUCAAAGAAAAAAAAAUAAACAAGUCACCUUCUUAGGUCAGUCUGGGUUCUCUGGAGCGCCUUCGUACCCUGUGCUCACCUUUCGUUGGCCUCCUGCCUGCAGGAGGAAGUUCAGUGACCCCAGGGCUGCUCCAAGGAAAAGGUACUGUUGCUUUCCAAGUCAUUUCCAAAGUUCAUGUUGAGAUCUAAUUGUCAAGUAAUGGUGUUGAGAGGUGGAGCCUUCAAGAGAUGGAUUAAGCCAUUAUGGUGGGAGGGGGCUCCUGAUAAAAGGAUGAGUGGGCCUGAAGCGGUGCGUCUUGUGCCUGCCCACUGGCCUUGUACCACGUUAUAUUGCAGAACUGCAAAGGCCCACCAGAAGCUGGUGCCACACUCUUGGACUUGCCAAGCCUCCAGAACCACGAGCAAAUAAAAUUCUACUGUGAUUAAACUACUGCUUGUGGGAUUCUGUGGUAUCAGCAGAAAACAGACUAAGACACUGAUUAACAUGGGUGGUGACUCUGUAGCUGACUUUCUAACAUAAAGAUGAUAUUUUUCAUAAUAAAAAGAAGCAUAAAAACAAAAGUGCCAGUAGAGAGGGUUGUCUAGAGCAACUCGAAGAGAGGGAGGAGUUAGUAGGUGAGAAGCGCGGAGGGUCUGUCCUGGGGCUCUGGCAAAGAGGAUGGAGACGGAGGAAUGGCCUCACAAAACAACCAGCAGGUAGAACCUGGGGUCUUGGCAACAGAGGUGGCAUUGAAUGAGACAGGGAAUCGUCUAGAACACCCAGCGAUGCCCAGGUUUCCUGCAGGGUCUUGGAACCAUCCGAGAAGGAUACAGUGGCCAGGAGAUGGGUUGGAAGGGAUGAUACAAUUUGUUAAGGGCAAAUCGAGUUUGUGCUACUUGUAGGGACAAGAAGUGGCAUGUUCAGUGGUCAGUUAGAUACAAGGAUCAGAGCUCUGCAGAACCAGUGGCCAGCUGUCUUUAAAAACUGUUUUAUUGCUAAAGAUUAUUCUAAGUAGUUACUCAUUCCGCUUGGCGGGAGGCCCCGAAACCCCCAGCACGCUGGUAAUUAUACAGUCUGAGUCACUGGGUGGCCCUUCUCUCAUGGUUCAUCUUUCUUUACCUAAGCGCAGGGUUUAAUGAUUUUUCAAGCUCCUUUUCCCUGGAUUAUAAUGCGGAACUACUCAGCCUGGUACUUAAGAAGCUCAUUUCCUAUUUAAACUUUAUUAGAAUCUAAUUCCUUCUCUACCAAAUGGCAAUGCAAUAACUUCGGCUUCCCAAGUUAAGUGGGAGAGAGAGAGCCAUCGAAAACUACAAGUAAACAGGAAAGGCGGAGAAGAUGAGAGAAAACAGAAGACUUAUUCCUGCUCAGGGCCUGUUUCACAUCCCAGGGAGGCGGCAAAGAGUUCCUCUGCUCUUCAGGCAUACAUCUGGGGCUGUCCAAUCGCGUCUGCUGGUGGUGCAGAUGCACUGGGGAGGGCCAUCCAGAGACAGUUGUCCUCACAUGGCUGAGAAUCCAGAGCCCUGUGUGCGAAGAAUCUGAGCUCAGGGAGGUGAGCUUAGGUCACAUUGCUGGACAGAGAGCCAGGGGACAGGGAUAAGAGAUGCACCUGGUUCAUGAGUUCAGGGGCUCCCAGUCUACCUUGCAUGACCCUGAGAGUGAGUUGCCUUCAAUUCUGUCUCCAAGAGGCUUGUCUUGCCCUACUGGACCCAUGGACCCUGAUCAUAGGUUCAGGACAACAACCCAGGGACGUCGAUGCUGUUGCUCUGUGUUCCCUUCUGCUCUCACACACUUUGUGGAUUGUUUCAAACUCGUCUUUCAUGACCAGCUCAAAACUCCUCCUCUGUGAGCGACAUGUCCUCAGUCCACUCAGCAGCAGGGGCCUCCACCUUCUCUCUGUGUCCCUGGCCCUUAUGUUCCUGCUUACCUUCAAGUAUCAAUCACAGGAAGGCUUACGUGUCCAUCUCCUCUCCUGACUGUUGCUGAAGUCUUCAUAGCACACAAUUAGUAUGUGUCAAGCAUUUAAUAAUGUGAAAUAUCGAGCGAGUGAAUGAAUGAAUAAACAAAAGAGCAAGGAGCUGCUUAUUAGGCCCUGUGGUUUGCCCUUCAAGAACGCAAAAGUGACCUGGGGACAGUGGGUAGUGGACAGACCUGGUCACCCGAGGGCAGAUCACCUGAUACUUCCUCUCUCCCUGCUCUUUUCUCUCUGUGCCAACAUGCAGACCUCUCACUACUCUCCAGAGCUGGCACCUUCUCAGGACUUGGCUCUAGUGGGUGAAGUGGCUGUCCUGGGUCUAACCUGGGCCAUUUGGUACAGCAAAUGGGCUGUACCUCCCUCCUCACUCCAGUUCUGUUUUCUUCCCCAUCCCUCGAUCCCUAGCAGACCUCACUACCUGCCUCUCCCAUCACGGGGAGGGGUUGCUCCCAGUCUCCUCCAUUCAAGGAGUGCCCUAGGCAACUCUGAGAGGCAGGCACUGAGCAAGGAAGCCGCAAAGAAGCAUCAUUCUUCAAGGUGUUCACUUAGCAGCAAGAGCAGGGAUGUUAAGAAGUGGAAUUCCAGAGAGAAGAUAGCACCUUAUUUUGUCCUUUGCUUCCCCGACUGUCUUGGUUGAGUUUAGAGGGUUUGAUCUUUAAUCAGAUCUUCAUUAAUCACAUGUCUAGUGACAACCUGUCUCAGGUUUUGUCCAAAUAGCUCAAACAGGCCUGGGGAUGUAGUUUGGUGGUACAGUGCUUGCCUACCAUGCUCAAGGCCCUGGGUUCCAACUCCACAACUAAAAAGGAAAUUCAAAGAUGCAAACCUUAAGCAGAAACACAUGAUUAAGUCUGCUGAUUCUGUGGCUUCUCCAUGAGCAAGCCUGUCUUGCCAGACCCCAGCCAGUCUGCAUUCUGUUGGGGGGUAUAUUAGUCAGCUUUCUGUUACUCUAACAAAAUACCAGAGUCAAGCCUACUUUAUUUUAAAAAAGAGAUUUAUUUUGACUCAUUGUUCUGGAAGUGCAAGAUGUAGGCACCCGAUCUGGUGGUGGCCUUCUUGCUGACUGAGUCCCAGGGCAGCACAGGGCAAGAGUCAGGGGGCACAUGUAAGUAUGUGUGUGGCUCUCCCUCUUCUUAUAAAGUCUUCAGGAUUCAAUCAUGGGGGCUCUGCCCUAAUGACCUUAUUUAAUCUUAACCAUCUCCCAGAUGCUCCAUAUGGUGUUGAGACACCACAGGCAGAUUAAGUUUCCACCCUCUUAAUACCACUGACACAUAACUUUGUGGAUUAAACUCUAGCAUGAGUUCAGGGGGACAAACCAUAGCCAAGUGGUCUUCCCAGUGACCCUUUUUAGGGAUUACUCCACCCCCACUCCAUCCCUCCAUCCUUGGAGGCUGCCAUGUUUUCAACACUGCAAUGCACUUCCCCACCAAAACCAAUUAGCCCAAGGGUGAGUGGGUGGGGGCAUACUACAAAACAAGCCAGUCCCCUCCCAGAAGAGUUUAGUCUGGGGCAUGAUAGAAAAGGCAGUGUCUCUAUUUGGGUGGCUGAAUUGCAGUGAGUUUCAGCAGAAAGGGAUUUCGCAAAUGGUGUUAACUUGUUUAUGGAAUCAUUGCAACAACUAAGAAAUGGUUUGUUAAGUCUCACCCUUGGGCUCAUCCUCUAAGAGCUGAGGUGCUUCAGCUUCAGAAUCUUAUGUCUAGGCCCUGACUACACGGUUGCCAUGCAACACAGACAGAACCCGAGGACCUUACACUAGGUGAAGGAAGUCAGCACAGAAAGACAUCACAUGUUCUCACCUGUGUGUGUGAAUGUUUAAAAAUUGAUUUCAGGGAAUUAGAGAGUAGAAGGGUUACCAAAGGCUAUAAAGGGUGGCGAGGUCAAGUGAAGGUGGCUGAUGGGUCUGGGGAUGCACUUGGAAAGGAGGAAUAACUUCUAAUUAGACGGUAGGAUAACUAUCGUUGACAAACUUUAAUUGUAUAGUUCAAAAUAGCCGGUAGAGAGGAUGUUGCAUGUUCCUAAUCCAAAAAAAAAAGAUAAAUGUUGAGGGUGAUGCUAAUUCCCCAGAUCUUAUCAUUACACACUGUAUACAUGUACUGAAGCAUCACACUAUACCCCCCCCCCCCAAAAUGUGCAAAUUAUUUUGGGUCCAUUCAAAUUUUAAAAUAUAUUUUUAAAAAGAGGCUGCAACUGGUUCCAAAAUCACAUUGCAUCUGCCACAAUUCACACCAUCAACCCAGACACCUCAGUCGGGCAUGGUGGUGAAUGUCUGUAAUCCUGGUGGCUCCAGAGGCUGAGGCAGGAGGAUCACUAGUUCAAGGCUAGCCUCGGCAAUUUAGUGAGGCCCUAAGCAACUUAAGGAGACCCUGUCGCAAAUAAAAAAAAUUUUAAAAAGGGCUGGGGGUGUGGCUCAGUGGUUAAGUGCCCCUGGGUUCAAUCCCUGGUACAAAAAAGAAAAGAAAAGAAAAGAAAAAUCAUGACACCUCUUCUCUAGCUGCUGCAGUAAAGCACGUGCCUCCAUGUGGAGCUUGCCAACAGGUAGGAUGGGGCAGCAGAGAAGGCCUCCACCUCUCCAAGUUGUCUGCCCAAACCUAGCUCAUUCUCACAACCUUGGUGGUGAGGGAGCUGGAACUGCAGUCUGUCAGUUCUACCCUGAGCUAUCCCAGGAAGGACCGGAGGAGGAGAGGGGAAUAAGCGUGAGGGCUGAUCCAUCCCUACCCCUUUGCCUUCUUAGGUUUCUUAAUUUGAUUAAACAGCAGCCCUCCUAAGACUUCAGAUGUGCCCCAGCCCCACGUUCUGCUCGUCUCAAGCAAAUCAGACUCUCCCUUUUUGUAGCGAAGGUGCCAGAUAUCAGAGGAAACUGGCCUGGAGAUCAUGUCAGCUCAGCCCUGAGCCCACUUUACUGUGGGUAUCAUGUGCCCAGAGUUGUGUCCUUCUCUAUAAAUGUACUGUUUGUGGAGGGCAAAGUGAAUAGGAAAAGCAAUCCCCAGGGUUAGUGGACAAAAGUGUCCCUUGGGAGAAUGCGGGCCACUCAGUAGACCAUCAGGUGAGGGUUUAACAGGUGCUGUGUAUCAGAGGUGGAGCCAACGAGGGUGGAAGGUGUUGGGCUUGGAGUCAGACUCUAGGCGGGGAAUGUCACAGUUGCACUGCUGGGGCCCUGGAAUAGACUGCUUAGGCACUCCAGGGGGACAGGCAGGGAUCAACAGGUGAGACAGGGAGCAAGCACCAAGGUCAUUACUAACAGAUUGUUCAGGGGUUAGCCAUCCUGGUCUGGAAUUCUCCUGACCAGCUUCCCUUCUCCCCCUUCCACAUCUCUUCCAUCUUUCCCCGGCCCCUCAGGUCCCCGUGCUUGGUGUGCCUACACACCUAUGAGAAUGAGCACAUUGCUGUCUGUCAGCAGCUGUCUGCAGCUCAAUUGUGCACAGCCUUCCAGAGACUCAUUUCCAAGGUCACUCUUCCAUGAGGAACGCCACAAUUCCUUUGAAUCCCUUUGCUUUCACGCAGGUACCAAUGCAGACAUUUUAAGCAUGCACAACACACCUAGCCCUUGCUGACUGUCUCUUAUCAGUUUCCUUAUAAUCACAUUUUACUCUUCCACUAAUUUACUACAUGACUUUAAAAAAAAAUUUUUAAGAGCAUGAGCAGGCACUCUAACUUCAUUAUACUUAAUAGUAAUGAGCCACACAUAAAAUAGUCCAUUUACCCUAGUCUACUUUUAGGGUAUGACUACUCCUAGGGAUGUAAAUGAGACAGGAGUCCUGUGGUUCAGUAUUUUGAAGUUUCUUUAACUUCAGACCAUAGUGGUUUGGCGUGGGGUCUUUGGACACAGUUUAUGUUCCAGCUCCUUCAUUCCUAGAGUAAUAAGGGAGAGAUGGUAGCUAAAGAUAAUUCCCAGGUCUGUAGCCGGGAGAGUAGUAGGUUUUAGUGGGGAAGAUUCUGGUUUAUCUUUGGGCAAAUGGCAUUUGAGAUGGCUAAGAAGCAUCAUGGAGAAACACUGGAGCAAUCGUAUCUACAAGUUGGCAGCUUGGGACAGUGUUUUAGUCAGCUUUGCUAUGACUAAGGAUCUGACCAGAACAAUUUUAGAGGAGGAAAAGGUUAUUUGAGGGCUCAUGGUUUCAGAGGUCUUAGUCCACAGAAGGCAGGCUCCAUUCCUCAGGGGUUGAUGUGAGGAUGAACAUCAUAGCAGGAGAGGGUGGUGGUGGAAUGCAGAUCACAUCGUGGUGACCAGGAGGCAGAGAGAGAGAGACUCUACUCACCAGUUACAAAUAUAUACCCAAAGCCACGCCCCAAUUCUCAAGUCCUCUAGCCAUACUCUACCACUUCAGUUCCUACUCAGUUAAUCCCUACCCGGGGAUUAAUUUACUGAUUGAGUUAAGACUCUCACAACCCAAUCAUUUCUCCUCUGAACCUUCUUGCACUGUCGCACAUGUGAGCUUUUGAGGAACACCACAUCCAAACCAUACAGACAGGUUUGAAUCAGAGACAGUGACUGAGAAUCCCCAGAAUUGAGGUUCUAGUUUUUCAAAAUGAUGAAGUGGAUCCUAAUGUUACCAUGACAACACAUAGUUGCUUCAGUUUGGAGGACUGUGGGUGGGGUAACAAGUCUGUGACCGUCAUCUGGUGGCAAGUUGGGAGCUGCCUUCUGAAGGAAUCGAGUCUAAUCUUGGCUUUGCCACCUGAUCGAGUCACUUAGCUCCAUAAUUUGCAAAAUGUAUGUGAAACCAAAUUGUAAACUAUGAACUGCACAUUCAAGGGGUUGUUGUUGUUAUUAUUAUUAUUACUGGUUUUGGACUUUCAUAGUUUCACUUAACAGCAAACCUUCUAUAUAUAAGUGGAUAAUAAAUAUUGAACGUAAAACAUCCUAACGAAGGAGCAUUGGUCAGUGUACUUUGUUCUGUAGUCCUUCUCCAUAGGAAGCAGGGCCAGGGAGAAGCAUCUCUUAGAGUUGCUUGGCCCAAAUCUGUUGACACCCAAAAUUCUGAAAAAUAAAGCUGAGUCACAGCCAACAGCCUCACCACUUCAAGUUCUUAUCUAGGGGAAGACUACUCAUGCAGUAAUUAUGUUCAAAAUGAGAAGGGGAAAAAGGAAAUGAAUAAUUAGGAGCAAUUGAAGAGAUGCAAAUUUCUCUUUGUUCCAAGCUGGUGUCACAAGACGCCUCUUCACGGAGAGAAUUUCUAUCCCAUUUAAUUUGCUUUACUUCCAAGUGAGUAGAGGAAGGAGAUGUUGGGGGAGAGAGAGAGACAUAAAGAGGCAAACAAGAGAGAUAAGAGGAGAGAGGAAAGCUUCUUUCUAUGGAAAAGGAGAGUUCCUGUGAUUCUAUCAGAAAAACAGAAUAAUAAGAGAUCACCGUGAUCAGCAUCUUGUCAGUUUUGAGGAAUGGGAAAAGGAAGACUCGGAAUUCUUGAUGGAACCCCUAGUGCCACAGGGAACUGUGCCUUGCUCAUGCUUUGGGGCGAGGCAGUUUCCUGGGACCCCCAACCCAAGGCUUCUCUCCCUCUGGGCUUAUUUUUGGGUCCCUCCCCCAAACACAAUGCAGGACAGUUUGGUAAAUGGCAGCUGUCCAACUAUACAAACCUCUUAUCUUUGGCUAAAAGCUCAUAAGCAAAAGAGUUCCAUUUUACUGCCUGCUGGCUCAGCCACUGUGCCGGCCACCUUUCCUGGGUUUCAGGCACCCUGGACUCAAGUCUGGGAGUCGACCAGGGCUGGCCUGCAGGACUGCUCUAGCACCUUGCAGGGGUCUGUGUGUAGGACUCUUGGAGAAAGAGCUCCCUAGAGCUAAGAGAGCUGCUGCUCAUGUUUGCUGCUGGGGCAGGGAGCCUCUGGGACCCCAUCCUCAACUUCAGGAGCGCCCUGUGCUCCUCCCACUGGAUCUACCUUUUUCCUUCUCACCCUUGGGGCCCCAGUGUGGGGCACAAUGCCUCUCAGUACAGUAGCCAAUAGGGAUGAGGGGAGGAAAUGCCUGGGAUUGCCAUUUUGGGAGAGCUGGUGCUCUCCAUGACCCUCAAUUUGCUGGUGAGGAGGUGGAGGCUGAGGUGGUGACGGUGCCUACCCUGGUCCCCAGGCCGGGGGCAAUGGACCAAGCCUCACUCUCUGGCUGCCUGGCUCCUGGAACCCAUGCUCUCCUGCUGCCCGGAUCCUUUUGGUGAUGAGGCAGCUACACCAGCCAGAGGAUGCGCCCUGGGAAAGAAGCACAGCCUCGCUGAGUCUGUAGAGUUGGUUUUGCCACAGCAGAGACUGCUGUGCACCCUGGCAUCAUAUCCUUCUGGACUAGUCUUGGUUAGAGGAGAGAAUUUUAUAGCCAGGAAAGCAGAUCCAGCAUCUAUGGACAUGCCACACUUGUGCCAGGCUCCCCCUAUGCAUGUUAAUGGGGAGACAAAGGAGUAAUCUGAGGAAUGAGUGCAAAGGUUCAGGUAUUACAAACAGAAGCAAUAAAAUAAAUGCUUGUGUGCGUGGUCAGGAGGCAAAGAGGCAAAAAUCCAAUUUAAGAGAUUAUGCCAAGUGGAAGAAAUCCAAAGUGGAUUGUGGAACAUUAACCACUAAAGGGAAAGUAUAACAUACCCUGGUUUUAAAAAUUGCACAGAGGAUCAACACCAGCUGACUUGCUGUUUGGGGCAACAAUGAUUAUUUUCCUGAAGAGGACUGGAAUCAAGUACUGUGCUUUUCAUUGCAGUGCAUUCAGCAAAUAUGACUGAGAGGUUGUUUUUUUUUUUUUUUUUUUUGUACUGGGAUUUGAACCCAGGAGCACUUUAGCACUGAGCUACAUCUCCUGUACUCCAUUAUCUCCCUUUAAAAUUAUUUUUCUUUUGAGACAGGUUCUUGCUAAGUUGCUGAGGCUGGCCUCAAACUUGUGAUCCUCCUGCCUCAGCCUCCCUAGUUGCUGGGAUUACAGAUGCUGACUGAGAGUUCUUAGGACCCGUGUUUUCUUGAUCCUCUGAACCAGUGGUGUGCUGUUCAUGCACGUUGGACCCUGGCCUCAAACACAUCAGUGGAAUUUUAGAAGGCUGGUGAGCGAGAUUUUUCUCGUGGAAGAUAUAGAUUUGGGAGAAAGGAGCCAGGUCUUUAGGGACAAUGUCCCAGAGAGGUCUUUUGUGCCCUCAGAGGAAACCUAGCCUGGAUGGAGGAAAGGUAGAAAUCCAGCAAAAGGAUCCCAAACCGUGUGGCUCAUGAGUGACAGUAAUGAAAGAAACCACUUCACAGACCAGCUUUAAAACCUCCCUGCAUUCCCCUUGAGAGGUUCUGCUCUGGGUGACUGAGGUUUUGUAAUUCACAGUUCUUUUCAGUCACCGGUCUGCACCACCCAGGACAAACUCAUUUCAGCCAUGGAACAGAGUGGGAAUAGACAGGGCGAUUCAGAACCAAGAUGGGAACAGACAAGAACAGCUCCCUGCUGAGUGCACUUCUGGUGAAGCACUCUGCUAAGCAUGUGAUGCACACUGUCUCCCUGGGGCUGCUAACAGUCUCUAAGUCUGAACAAUGAGAAUGCUGUGGCUCUGAGAGGUUAAGUAACUAGCCCAAGGCCACACAGCCAAUGGUUAGCAGAGCUAGGAUAUAAGUGCAUGCCCUCUCCACUAUAUGGCCCUCCCAGGUGAGGCUUCAAAACUAGGUAACAGGGGGACAAGAAUUAAAAAAAAAAAAAUGGCCAUGGGUCUGUGCUAGUGAAGGCCACAUACAAUUCUGGCCAUUCCCUCCCCCUCCCCCUCCCCCUCCCCCUCCUUCUUCUUCCUUCUUUCUUCUUCUUCUUCUUCUCCUUCUCCUUCUCCUUCUCCUUCUCCUUCUUCUUCUUCUGCUUUUUCCUAGAGAAAGGUACAGAAAUGAUACAGAUGUUGGCCACAAUUGCCAGGGCUCAAAUACUGUGCACUGGAAUCCACAAAUGUAAGUGCAAAUCAGCUUACAGACAGAGCAUCCAGGCCAGUAACACAAAUAUAAGAGUAACCCGGUGAGCCAGGGGCAGUGCUGCACAUCUGCAAUUGCAGACACUCAGGAGGCUGAGGCAGGAGGACUUCAGGAGUGAAACUGCCUGGGUUCAAAUCCCACCUCCACGGCUUUCUGGCUGUACAACACUGGCCUUCGGCUUUCUCAUUCAAGGCCAUAGAGGAAGAAGCACUACUCUGUUGGGUUGCUAUGAGGCCCAAAUGCACUCAUGAGUAUGAAAGUGCUGAGAACAAUGUAACACCCUAAAUAACCAUUCAACAGAUAAUGUGUGCGAUCUCUCUCUUUGCUUAAAAAAUAGAUGAUAUGAAAGGAGGGUAAUUUUUAAAACUGAAUGAUGUGUUUAUGUGGGCUUAUUAAACUUUCUUUUUGCUUUAUAUAUGUUUGAAAUUGUCUAUAAUAAAAUUAAAAAUUUUAAAUGUCAUAUUAGUUAGGUGGGAUAUAUCUAUAUAAUAUGGGAUAUUAUAGCAGCUGGGUAUACAAAAAUAACAAGACAAUUCCCAGCAUUACGGAAUGCUGGGUAGAGUAAGGGAGAUGUACAUGCAAACUAAUAGUUUCAAUGUCACAUUAAAAAAAAUGACACCCAGAGGCAGCCAAGCUAUCACAGCAGCUCAGCAGAGGGUGUGAUUAACACUGCAAUAUGUGAAUAUGUGCCUUUUCCGGAACUCUCCCUGCCCAAGGAGUGCAUUAGCUGAUUUAAUAGCCCAAUGUGCCCAUCUCGAAGGUCCACGCUGUGGCUGUUUUCACACAUGGUAGCUAAUUUCAUGGGCUUUUCAAAUGCACGACAUUGGGUGAUUGACUUAUCCUCUUUGACCCUCGGAUUCCUUUCUGUACAAUGGGGCCAAUAACAGCCUUCCUCCUGGAGUUGGGAAGUUAAAAUUGGCAAGUAUGCAAAGCAUUUGGCACGGGGCAAGUUGUUAAGCACUCAAAUGUUGGCUGCUUUUUCUCUUCCUCUGACUCCUAAAUGACUAAGAUCACUCUUCCUCCACCCCAGAGUUUGCACCCAAUCAUCUCUUCUCUUUAAUUUAUAUUUCCAUCAAGCACUUUGCUGAAAGCCUUUUAGCGGUAACUAGAAGGGCUGAGCUCAUCAAACUUUCCAUUCCUUCCUCUGCCUCUUGGACUAAUUGAUGGGGGCUUUGGGGCUGGAGGAGAUCACGGGACACGAGGCGGUGUGAAAAGAGAACAAUAGAGAACUCGUGUUCUUUCUGAGCAAAGGACAAAAGCAAUUGUUUUUUAAUAUUUAAGAUGAAAUACUUAAGAACCUAUCCUUCUACCCAGAGAAAGAGAUCAAGGAUUCCAGGCAUCAUCUCUGGAAAGUUCCGGACCGAGCCCCACUUUUCGAGGCUACAGCGCCACCUGGUGGCUCCACCUGCAGGUCGCCUAUCUUUCGGUGGCUCCGCUUUCCCUGUUCUCUUAUUUAAGAAACAAGUCCAUAAUUUCAAACCGAAAUACAACAUCUAAUUCACUUCCUCUGUAGUAAACUGUGACAUCUGGAAAAGUUAUGUCCAUUUCGGUCCUAAUGAGAUUUUCAUGCUGGGCAAUUAUUCUUUUCUGACGGAAAGACAUGGUUUUGAAAUUCCAUUUCAGCAGCAUAAAUGUGACACAUCUGGUACUCCUCUAAAUUAUAAGGAAGCUUCCAAAAGUUAUGUUUCAAGAUGUGAUUUACACAGGUAGCCCACUCAGUUCACCUGCCAGCUCUUCUCUCUCUCUCUCUCUCUCUCUCUCUCUCUCUCUCUCUCUCUCUCUCUCUCUUUAAUGAUACUGGGGAUUGAACCCAGGGGUGCUCUAUCACUGAUUUAUAUCUUCAGCCCUUCUUAUUUAAACAAUUUUUUGACUCAGUCUCACUAAUAUGCUGAGGCUGGCCUGGAACUUGAGAUACGCCUGCCUCAGCCUUCCUAGUCACUGGGACUACAGGAGUGCACCCAGCUGUCUGUCUCCCAAAUACAAUGUGAGCAUCAUUUACCUUCCACAUCCUUCUAAUUCUCUGCUUUAUUGGCAGUAUUUACUGCCUGAACCCUGGAGGCACUCAGUGCCUAUUUGUUAAAUGAAUCAAUUAAUUUCAUCUUUAAUACUGGGCUCCUGCCCACUGAGUACCCGGCACUGACCUGUGUUGGACCAUGGACCAGGGAAGGAGAGUAAUUGUACAGAUGUGUGUGUCCUUCUUUAAACAUUUAUUUUGUAGGAGGCGGUUUGACCGCUGAUGACAAGGAUUGGCAUGUCUCCAGAGAGCUCAUUGACUGUAAUAUAAAAGCUCACCGAGUAGAUCUGCAGUGAGGCUGGACUCUGCUGGGUAGAGAUCCACAUUCUUGUCCAACAAGCUUUCCCAAGAUUAUCAAUCACUGCUGGGUCCUUUCUAAUGUAAAGGGAUGGGUGUGUGUACAUGCCCUGGUGUCCCUGUACAGGGUGACAAGAGGAAGGGUGUUUUGGUAUGGAUAUUUCUUAAGUUAUUUUUUGCUGUUUUUGGAAACUAAAAGUGCUCCAAGGCAGAGGGGGGUGGCAGAUAAAAGUCUUACUAUUGUGUUUAUGCUGUUCUCAGAACUUUUAAAUGAGAGGAAGCUAUUUCCUUAGUAAGAGCAACUGCCAGCAGAUGUCGCCAGCUCCCAAGGCAUGAAGUGCCAGCAGGGCAGGUGCACUUGAAGGUGAGGGGGAAGGGCUUGUGAUGGGAAGAGACUUGUCUUAGUACAAAAAUGUGAGUGAACUAGUGGUCUCUCUGAGCUCAUCAUAUCCUGGCACUUACUGAAGGAAAUUAGUGCUUGUCUAGUCACCUCACUUCCUUGGCUCUUAGGACUCACCUUUUAGCUAGCUUCAUUAGCCUGUUUCUACUUUGGGGUAUGUGCGUGUCGUUUGUCACCCUUUCUCCUUGGUAAUCAGGAUCUAGAGGGUGCUAGGUGUUGACUUGGGCGAGCUGUGGUUGGAGUAUCCCCAGCGCUUCUCAGCCAAGCCGUGCAGGCUUUGUGUCAGAACAGUGCCCAGAGCUGGGCAUGGGGUGUCACAACGGAACGGACCCNGCUUUUCAAAUGCACGACAUUGGGUGAUUGACUUAUCCUCUUUGACCCUCGGAUUCCUUUCUGUACAAUGGGGCCAAUAACAGCCUUCCUCCUGGAGUUGGGAAGUUAAAAUUGGCAAGUAUGCAAAGCAUUUGGCACGGGGCAAGUUGUUAAGCACUCAAAUGCUGGCUGCUUUUUCUCUUCCUCUGACUCCUAAAUGACUAAGAUCACUCUUCCUCCACCCCAGAGUUUGCACCCAAUCAUCUCUUCUCUUUAAUUUAUAUUUCCAUCAAGCACUUUCCUGAAAGCCUUUUAGCGGUAACUAGAAGGGCUGAGCUCAUCAAACUUUCCAUUCCUUCCUCUGCCUCUUGGACUAAUUGAUGGGGGCUUUGGGGCUGGAGGAGAUCACGGGACACGAGGCGGUGUGAAAAGAGAACAAUAGAGAACUCGUGUUCUUUCUGAGCAAAGGACAAAAGCAAUUGUUUUUUAAUAUUUAAGAUGAAAUACUUAAGAACCUAUCCUUCUACCCAGAGAAAGAGAUCAAGGAUUCCAGGCAUCAUCUCUGGAAAGUUCCGGACCGAGCCCCACUUUUCGAGGCUACAGCGCCACCUGGUGGCUCCACCUGCAGGUCGCCUAUCUUUCGGUGGCUCCGCUUUCCCUGUUCUCUUAUUUAAGAAACAAGUCCAUAAUUUCAAACCGAAAUACAACAUCUAAUUCACUUCCUCUGUAGUAAACUGUGACAUCUGGAAAAGUUAUGUCCAUUUCGGUCCUAAUGAGAUUUUCAUGCUGGGCAAUUAUUCUUUUCUGACGGAAAGACAUGGUUUUGAAAUUCCAUUUCAGCAGCAUAAAUGUGACACAUCUGGUACUCCUCUAAAUUGUAAGGAAGCUUCCAAAAGUUAUGUUUCAAGAUGUGAUUUACACAGGUAGCCCACUCAGUUCACCUGCCAGCGCUUCUCUCUCUCGCUCUCUCUCUCUCUCUCUCUCUCUCUCUCUCUCUCUCUCUUUAAUGAUACUGGGGAUUGAACCCAGGGGUGCUCUAUCACUGAUUUAUAUCUUCAGCCCUUCUUAUUUAAACAAUUUUUUGACUCAGUCUCACUAAUAUGCUGAGGCUGGCCUGGAACUUGAGAUACGCCUGCCUCAGCCUUCCUAGUCACUGGGACUACAGGAGUGCACCCAGCUGUCUGUCUCCCAGAUACAAUGUGAGCAUCAUUUACCUUCCACAUCCUUCUAAUUCUCUGCUUUAUUGGCAGUAUUUACUGCCUGAACCCUGGAGGCACUCAGUGCCUAUUUGUUAAAUGAAUCAAUUAAUUUCAUCUUUAAUACUGGGCUCCUGCCCACUGAGUACCCGGCACUGACCUGUGUUGGACCAUGGACCAGGGAAGGAGAGUAAUUGUACAGAUGUGUGUGUCCUUCUUUAAACAUUUAUUUUGUAGGAGGCGGUUUGACCGCUGAUGACAAGGAUUGGCAUGUCUCCAGAGAGCUCAUUGACUGUAAUAUAAAAGCUCACCGAGUAGAUCUGCAGUGAGGCUGGACUCUGCUGGGUAGAGAUCCACAUUCUUGUCUAACAAGCUUUCCCAAGAUUAUCAAUCACUGCUGGGUCCUUUCUAAUGUAAAGGAAUGGGUGUGUGUACAUGCCCUGGUGUCCCUGUACAGGGUGACAAGAGGAAGGGUGUUUUGGUAUGGAUAUUUCUUAAGUUAUUUUUUGCUGUUUUUGGAAACUAAAAGUGCUCCAAGGCAGAGGGGGGUGGCAGAUAAAAGUCUUACUAUUGUGUUUAUGCUGUUCUCAGAACUUUUAAAUGAGAGGAAGCUAUUUCCUUAGUAAGAGCAACUGCCAGCAGAUGUCGCCAGCUCCCAAGGCAUGAAGUGCCAGCAGGGCAGGUGCACUUGAAGGUGAGGGGGAAGGGCUUGUGAUGGGAAGAGACUUGUCUUAGUACAAAAAUGUGAGUGAACUAGUGGUCUCUCUGAGCUCAUCAUAUCCUGGCACUUACUGAAGGAAAUUAGUGCUUGUCUAGUCACCUCACUUCCUUGGCUCUUAGGACUCACCUUUUAGCUAGCUUCAUUAGCCUGUUUCUACUUUGGGGUAUGUGCGUGUCGUUUGUCACCCUUUCUCCUUGGUAAUCAGGAUCUAGAGGGUGCUAGGUGUUGACUUGGGCGAGCUGUGGUUGGAGUAUCCCCAGCGCUUCUCAGCCAAGCCGUGCAGGCUUUGUGUCAGAACAGUGCCCAGAGCUGGGCAUGGGGUGUCACAACGGAACGGACCCCUUAGGUUAGACUGCUCCUGCCCUCCCUCUCACACUGUUAUUUGGGGGCUUAGAAAGCCCUUUGAAGAAGCAAAGUGGCCAUGCUUCAUGUCUCCUGUGACAUCUUCUUUGAAGAGUGGCUUCUGGUUUACUUAGAAGUCACCCUUUUUAACUGCAUGGUUCAUGGAAUUGUGCAAAAGCUAAUUGCCAAGAGCGAGACUUUGCUCCUGGCCUGGCAGGCAUCGAGGACUCAUGGUGGCCGCUCUGUACUGCCUUUGAUAAUUCAUAGCACAUACAGGUCACUCACCGAUCAUAUGUCCCUGGCAGGUGUGGGUGCUGAUGGGCAUCCUGAACUUCUUCCCAGACCAGCAGAGGGAAGGCAGGCCAGCCCACCAUACCCACAACCCUGUCCUAGACCAUAUUAAAUUCCUGCCACAUUUCCCCCCACAUUUUUAAAUUAGUGCAUUAUAAUUGAAUAUGUUGAUGGGAUUUAUUGUUACAUAUUCAUACAUGCACACAAGACAACAAUAUAAUUUGGCUAAAAUCACUCCCCACCAUUUCCUCUCCUUCCCCCCAGCCUCCCACCUUUGGUCUCUUUCCUCUACUGAUCUCCUUUUGAUUUUUCCUAAGAUACACUCCACCUUUCUUUUCCUUUUUCCUCUCUAACUUCCGCAUAUGAGAGAAAACAUAUGACCCGUGACCUUCUGAGUUUGACUUAUUUCGCUUAACAUGAUGGCCCCUAAGUCCAUCCAUUUUCCUGAAAAUACCAUAAUUUUAUUUUUUCAUUAUGGCUAAGUAAAGCUCCACUGUGUAUAUAUACCACAUUUUCUUUAUCCAUUUAUCCACUGAUGGGCACCUAGGCUGGUUCCAUAGUUUGGCUAUUGUGAAUUGUUCUGCUAUAAACAUGGGUAUGCAUGUAUCACUGUAGUAAGAUGACUUCAGUUCUUUAGGAUAAAUACCAGGGAGUGGUACAUCUGGAUCAUAUGGUGGUUCUAUGCUUAGUCUUUUGAGGAGCCUCCAUACUGCUUUCCAUAGUGGUUGUAUUAAUCUGCAGUAUCACUGACAGUGUAAAAGUGUUCCUUUUCCUCCACAUCCUCUCCAGCAUUUAUUAUUGUUUGUGUUCCUGAUGACCAUUCUGACGAGUGUAAAAUGAAAUAUCAGUGUAGGUUUUUAAAAAUAUUUUUAUUAGUUGUUGAUGAAAUGUUUUAUUUUAUCUAUUUAUUUGUAUGUGGUGCUGAGAAUCGAACCUUGUGCCUCACGCAUGCUAGGCAAGUGCUCUACUGCUGAGCCACAACCCCAGCCCUCCCCUCAGUGUAGUUUUGAUUUGUAUUUCCUUAAUUGCUAUUGAUGUUAAACAUUUUUUCAUGUAUUUGUUGGCCAUUUGUAUUUCUUUUGAAAAGUGUCUGUUUAGUUCAUUUGCUCAUUUAUUAAUUGGGUUAUUUGAUUUUUCUGUAUAAAGUUUUUGAGCUAUUUAUAUAUUCUAGAUAUUAAUCCUCUGGCAGAAGAGUAGCUAGCAAAGAUUUUCUUCCAUUCUGUGGGUUCUCUCAUCAUAUCCCUAAUUGUUUCCUUUGCUGUGCAGGUUUUUAAUUUGAUGCUGUCCCAUUUAUUAACUCUUGAGACUCCUGCCACCUUUAUGUCUGUCCUGGCUUCCCCCCUCAGCCCCAAGCCAUACUGCUGGCACCCUGUUCCAUUUCCACCUGUAGGCUAGUCCGCAUUCACCUGUGCCUGGGGUGGAAUUCUAGGGCAGGCAGACAGGAGGAGUAGGGCAAGCAGCGUUCAGGGUUUCCCAUACCCUAGAUUUUGCCUGGUCCUGGGAGGUCAGAGAGCCAUUUUCAGAUGGGUAGAUUGUGGUGUCAUUUGAUGACAUUGUCUCUUGGAGCCAGUGGCUGCAGUGUGGCCCUCCCCAGGUGUCCUCAGAGUGCAGGGAUUGAGUCCAGGGCCUCAUGCCUGCCGGGCAAGUGUUCUACACUGAGCUACACUCCCAGCCCCACAGUGUACUUUUAAAUUACUCAGCUUUAAUUUCACAUUGUAUUUCUAUAUAAGUUGCUUCUAUUAACAAAGAACUUUUCUUCAUUUAGGUCCUAAAUGAAGUCUUCCUUUGACAAGGUCAGGUCCCCAAUAUCAGUCUGUACAGGAAUGGUUCAUUUGCAAAUGGCUUUCUUUCUAAAUAAGGAUGUUAAAAAGCACACUACAAAUUAUAUAUAUAUAUAUAUAUAUAUAUAUAUAUAUAUAUAUAUACACACACACACACACACACACAUACGUAUGUAUAUAUAUUUAUAUAAAUUUUUAAUAUAUUUAUAUAAAUUUAUACAUAUAAAUAUACUUAUUGCCCUAAGGAGUUGCUUAAAGUCCUAGCGCACGCACACACACACACACACACACACUCUUAUCCAGUGUGAUUCUGAAGGCAACUGAGAACAUAUUCAAUUCCAAGUGAAAAAUGCUCCAUGAAUCCAUUAGAUGAGGUUAAUACAGUUCGUAGUAAUCUCAGAUAUCUCUUAUUAUAGCCAAUCUCUUCCUAUCUUUCUCAUUCUGAAGGAUCCUUUUACAUUUUGAAUUUCAUGUUAACACACCUCAUGGUUGGAGCCACACAUUUCUGUGUGAAAAUGAGAACAUGAUGGAGAACUGCUGGUGGAGAGGGGGGUUUACACAGACAACCUCAAGAGAGGAGCAGAGCAGCAGGGACCAUUGGAUUCCAGGGGCUCUGGAUGGUGGGUGCCCAAGGUGAAGGAGGACCUCGAGGGCAGGGCAACCUGUAGGUAAGGGUCCACAGUGAUCAUUCUCCAUGGAACUGUGGACAAUGACCCUCUGAAUGAACGGACCAGUAGGCUGUGACCCUUGGGCUUGGGACUUGACGUGAUAGUGAGGAAGCUUGGCUUGUCCUUGGGUGAUGUGGGUGUUCUUUGGAUGGGCAUUGUGGGAAUUUCAGUGGUAGGUCUGCUUAUGAAGUCAUUGGCAUUGGACGUCAUAGGGACUGUGGCUCUGGUGGUCUCUAUGUUUAGAAUUUGAGUUCUUAAAUGAACAAGAUCCCAAUAAAAUACUUUUUCUGAAAUAAGAAAUGUGUUAUGAUGAAUCCUUAAUGCAUAGUUACUAUAAUAGGACAUCAAAGAGAAUAAUUUGCUCAGUUAUAUCCCAGGAGGCUGGAAUAUAAAUUAAUCUUUUCUGGCCCCAAAGUUUGAGCUAUUAGCACAAGCCACCUUUUACAUGUGCCCCUACAGCUCACCUUCUGUGACACGUCUCAGGCUAUUUGAACUAAUAAUUUUUGAAAGGAAAGGAUGGUGAGGAGACCUUUAGGUGUGUAAGAUUUGCCUUGGAUGCAUGCUCUGGCUAUCCCCAGGGCCCCAUUUAAUCUGGGUCCCCUUAGGGCUUCAAACAGUGUCCCUCUGACCUGCUGCAAAAUCUUGCAGAAGCCACAUGAGCAUUUGAUUGUGAUGGGUUCUUCCUCUUCAGAGUGGCUGCAGGAGCCCUGAUUCAUUCACACGGGCAAGCAAGUGGCCUGAUCAAUGCUCCAUCAUGUGGAGCAGCUCCAGUAGAGGCAGAGAUCUUACACUUUGGUGCCUACACUUCUGGGACUUUCAGCUCUGCUUCAUGAUAUUGAACAUUUUCUUUUCCUUCCUCCUUCUUUCCUUACAUCUUUUCUUCUUCGCAGUGCUGGGGAUGUAACCUAGGAUCUCAUGUAUGCUAGGCAAAUGCUCCACCACUGAUCUACUUCUGUAGCCCCAUUGACAUUUUCAAAAAUUAAAAAAAAAAAUCAAUUGCCAUGGAGCCGGCUCUAUCUAGCACAUUAUUAAUGGUCCUGGAGCUGACUAAUCAUAUUUGCCCAACCUUUUGAUAAACAGUUUCUACAACAUCUAGGGUAGAAAAGAAAGCACACAUCCCGUCGACCAGGACAAACUUGAAGUAUUGACCUCUCUCUCCCCACAUGCCCCACUCUUGAAACACAUUUAGAGUCUGGCACCAGGGUAGUCGAUCAUUGUUCCCACAUCACCAGGUCCUGACCGUGUUUUGCUGCAAUAGCGCUUUGCCUCUUUCUGUGAAAAUAAUUUUUCAAGAUUUCUUGAGGUUGGGGAUAUCCGCAGCUGAUUCUUGGGGAAGGACAGCCAUGAUAGGGACAUCAGCUUGUGCCCAGGUGCUCCUGAGUGAUCUCUUCUUGGCUCUCUGGAAGGGGGUUGCUAUAAACUCAAGAGGAGUAGCCAGGUCCUCCCAGGGCACUAACUAGACAACGCUCCUCCCAGGACAGACCUCUCAGUGCAGAGGUUUCCAAGGCUUCAUUAAGCUCCUUUUUGGUUUAGACUCUGUCCUGUUUGUGGGAAAAGGCAGGGAGAGCCAGAACGCUGCAUCAGAGGGACCAUCUUUUCAGUCUACACCCUGGUUAUGCUCCUCUCCUGGCUUGUGAACACAACAUACUUUUGGUCCUUACCUGUUGUGACAGAAGCAGUGGCUGCUGGGUGGCAUACAGACACUGAUUUUCCUCUGUCUCCUCUUUGCUUCAAAAUUUGAAACAUAAAUUCAUUGGUUAAUUGUGCAACUGCCCCCCCCCCACCUCACUUGCAUCUGCUGGAAUGGUUAAUAAAAUUCAAUGUAUAAUGGCAAUACCACCUAGGGAUUAAGCUCAGUGGGUGGAAGAGUGUUCGCAUUGCAUAUGGAAGGCCCUGGUUUUGAUUCCAACACUGCAAAAGAAGCAGUAAAAAAAAAAAGGCUAUAAAUAAUAACAGUAGACAGGAUAAAGGGACAAGGGUGUAGAUCUUAUAGAUACAUGGAUAUGAGUUCAUUUAUUCAUUCAACAAACCUUCACUGAGGGACUUCUAAAUGCCAUUGAGCUGUGUCACUCACCCAAAUGUAACCAUGGACUAAUAUCUUAAGCCCCGGAGCCAUGGGACCUCGUCUGUGACAAGGUAGACAAUGUUACCUGUGGGUUUCCAUGAAGAUUAAAUGGAUUAUGUAACAGGGUCAGCACUUGGCAGUGAUCAAUAAUUUUUUUUUGUUUCUUCAUUUGGUCCCAAGGCAAGGGAGGCAGUUUUGGAGAAUAACGUAGACUCAUGAAACCCCAAUUUGUUAGUCGAAUGAGCCUGAUGGAGACAUAGGCACCCUUCUGUACUUAUCAGAGUGUAAAAAAGCAAGGCCUCCAACCAUGCUUCAUAUCUCUGAAAAGUUUACUUUACCUGGGCAAACAUGUGGUAUCAAAGAAACAAAUAAGAGAAACACAAAAGUUCAGCUCUUUAAGGUGGGAAUUAAUUAGACCUCACUGAAGUCAUCAACCGGGCCUCUCGAUUGUCAAGUUUAGGGUAAGAGGGUGGGUGCAGUCUUGGACUGGGAACCAGGAGCUCUGGUUUGACCCUAGCCAGGGUUCCUGCUUGCUCAGGAAGACACAUGACUUUGAGCUUAGGCUCCCAGACUAGGGCAAACUUCCCUUUGAACAAGGAGGGGUUAGUGCUGAGGAUCGAGGAGCCACCCUCCCUUCCUUUCCUUCUUCCAGAAUGUUCCCUGAGUAGCUCCUCUGUGUCGGACCCUAUGCUGGACACUGGGGAAACUGAGAUCAAUGAGAACCAACUGAGCCAUGAUGGAGCUGAUGGGGGCCUUGGGUAAGACAGACAUGAAAACCGGAGGGAUGGCUUCUCUACCAGGUCUGGCUCCCGAGGGACACAGGUGUUCCGUGAAUUCACAGCAGAAGCCACCAGUAGUGAUUACUGAUUUCAGCUCCAUUCUGUAAAGGCAGCUGAGAACCAGAAGAGAGAUGCCAGAAAGUUAUUCAUGUGGGAGAGGAAUGUUUUCUAUGUGUUAGGAAUUCAGAAAUAAAAUGCCUUAGUAAGGAAUCCUAUCCUGACAAGUGAAGAGCUGUUGGCACAGGCCACCAUUACUGGCAGAAACUGUACCACUGACAGAUACGUGGUUGCAUGACCUGAUUAUCCUGCCGUCCAACUUUCUGGUGCUAAUGAUGUAGUCAACAUUUUGUCUCAGAUGACUUCUUAGUUUUCUACUGAAAGACACAGUGUACAGAUUGCUGCUUGAGUCUGAAUUUAGACAAUAGUAGUGUUCUGUCUUUUAUUGUAGAUACACUUAACACAAAAUUCACCGGCUUAACCCUUUUUAGGUGGUACUGAGUACAUUGAUGUUGCUGUGAGCAGUCUCCACCUUCCAGCUCAGAAACUUCUUUCUGAUCUGAAACUCUGCAUCCAUCGGACAGUGGCUCCCCACCUGGCCUCCCCCUGCCCCUGGCCCAUGCUCCAAGUGCCUCACACGAAAGGAGGUGUACAGAAUCUGCAAUGCAAGGUCAGACACCUUAUCCUCUUUGUCCUGUGUGGGAAAAGGGCUGGGCAAACCCAGGGGACAGUUUCCCAUAGGUUGAGACAGAUUGUCCUUGGUCCCAACCACUAGGGCGACUCCAUAGUCAGAAGACAAAGCUAUCCAUGGGGAAGGACUAAUUCCUCAUGGGGGUUCCCACACCUACGUUAUCCUCCCCAAAAGGUAAGUGCAGGCUGUGUUCCUGUGGUGAUUCUGCCCAGGGGUCACCUUUAUGGCCCACUAAAGGAAAGAAUUGUGGAUAACUUCAGAGCCAACAAAUGCUUUCUUAGUCAUGGAACAUUGGAGGGCCCCAUAAGUGCACAAAUCCAUCUUGAAUUCUGAGCCUAACAGGUGACCCUGCACACCUGCCUCCCCAUUUGCCUGGCUCAUGCCUCCUUGCCCAGUAAGUCCUGGGUCAGGUGUUGCAUCCUGCAGCAGGGACUCAUCCUAUGAGAUUUAGUGCUCUCUGGUUACCUGUAUGGAAUUCCUUAUGAUGACUCAUUGUCCCUUUGCUGGUCAACCUCUCCUAGUGGGACAUAGGCUCCUGUGGGUCAGGGACCACCGCUCUUUCACUGUUUAUCCCAACGCCUGGUGAUGGUGGACACCUGGUCUCAGGUAGUCCACGUUGAGGCAGAGUCUGAGCUUGGAUCCUUAGUGCAAGUGAUUGAUGAAAGCAGCGCGUUCAGUGGGGAAAUUAGGCAGCGGGAGAGCAAAGCAAAAUUGUGGUUUCAGCUGAACACCCCUCGGACAGCAACGGAACACAGAUGCACCACAAAGUUGUCCCACUGUUGGGCAGGGGCCAGUUUUGUACCUGAAUGAGCCAGUCAUCGGGUAUAACCUUCCAGGCAUUUCCAGGUGACAUGAAGCCCCUCAGCAGAGCGCAGUGGUGUGAAGGCUGUGGCCGGGCUGGCAGCUGGCACUCACACACCUGGGCAUGCGCAGGAACCAAGAGUGCUAUGGUACCGUGUAUCUUUGCUAAAUAAAUACUUGUCCACAAUAAUGACAAAAACAAAAUCAGUUGUUACUUAGUGAACUUGCCUCUGAGCCAGGCAAUGUCCUGUAUCUUUUAACCUCAGAGUUUCAUUCAUUCUCUCCACAACAAUCUCUGAGGUAGGUGCUGAUGGUGGGAAUGAAGAAAUUGAGACCCAGCAAAGUUAUGUGCUUGCUCAAGAUGCACAGGUCGGGUGGCAAACACCAAGGCUUGAGCCUAGAUUUAGUGGCCUUUAUCCCAAGUGAUUUGGGAGCUUGAUAAAGUCUGAGAAGCAGUGGGGAAUGAGACCUCCCUCCAUUAGUACAAUUUUGGUGUGGGCUGUUUCCUUUGUCAACUUACAUUUGUUCCAUUUGAGCCUUUGCUAACCUGCAAUGUUUUCAAACUGGUAAAAACAUUUAAUUAACACCUUGGUCAAAUGCCACUCCCCCCAGGUAGCCUUCACCUUCCCUUUAGAAGUCUCUCUCUUUUUGUGUGUGUGGUGCUGAGGAUUGAACCCAGGCAAGCACUCUACCAACUGAGCUAUAUCUCCAGACCAUCAAAUCUCUCCUUUCUAUCAAAGGUGUCAGAUGGCUUCAGGCUGAUUUCGUCUUUGGUGCCUGCAGACAAGAGUCCUUGACGGUGGUGGACUUGGGGGUCCAGGAGAGAACAGCUCUUGCAUUCCUGGGCCACUCCCUGUUUUCUUACCUCAGCCCCCGGAGAUGUCCAUGUCAAUACUUCCUUGCAGCUUUAUCUGUCCCAGGUCCCAGGCCACAGCAGUAUUUGUCCAAAUUAGAGUCCGUUUACUUUGCAAACCACACUCAAGCUUUCCUAGACACUGAGCAGCUGCUCCCCUGACGUCCCCAGCAGGACUCUUGUUUGCACUGUAUGUGGUCAGCAAACAGACCGCCUUGAACAAGCCACCGGCAGUGUUUCGCUGCCGGGAUGGGAGCAGCAGGCACUCGGAAGACACUCCUGGCUUUUUCCUAACAGACGGCUACCUUGGUUCAUCCUUUUGAAACAUGGAAAAUACAUCCAGGAAUAAAGCAUUUGCACCAAAGUGUACAAAAUUGCCUGCAUAGAGCAGAAAGAACAAUAGUGCACCCAGCAAGAAGUAGUAGCUACUUGGCCUUUCCUCUGCCGGAACUUCCUCUUGUUCUCAGUAGGAAGAAGCCCAGCAGAGUGGCUAUGAAGACAGUCUCAGCAGAAAGACCACCUGGAGUUUUAAUCCCCUGACAGGGGCUUAACCUUUCCUCACCUGUCAAAUAGGGAAAAGAAUCCUGUUGGGAGAAUUAAAUUAAUAAACUUAAGACACUUAGAACAAAGACCAGAAUGCAAGCAAUUUUCAUUAAAUAAUAGCAUUUAGGAAUGCAUCUCAAUUUUUGAUGGGUCCAUAAACUGAAAUUAUCAUAAAUUGAAAAUGUGUUUAAUCCAUAUAAGCCACUGAACCUCAUGGCUCAGCAGCGCAGCACACUGUAGUGUCACAGUUUUCCCUGGUGAUGGUGGGAACUGACCUGGAGCUGCGGUGUCUGCUGCUUCCCAGCCCUUUGAGACAGGAUCGGAAGGCAUAUCACCAGCCCAGGGAAAGAUCCACUUUCCAACUUUCAAGUACAGAGUCUACUGAAUGUGUAUCACCUUCACACCAUCAUGAAGUCAAACUCCCCUAAACUGAACCACUCACUGUACGUCGGGAAACUUCUGUAUUUGUUCUGGCUGGCUAAAGGCACCAAGUCAGAAGAUUGAGUUGGUGCUGAUGCAUUGUUAGGGAUCCUUCCAGAUGGGGAAUUGGCAGCGUAAAACACAUGUCGGUACUUCUCCUUAGACAUGGCGGAGAGUUUGGCUGGCAUAAUCAGAUACUGUUCCUGAUCCAGAGAGGCUGAGUGACAACUGCUGGCUGCCCGGGGCUCUGGUUCUGUGCUUAUGCUGCUGCAUUACCCCCUUGGUCCUUCCCCUUCCCCUUCUACACAGCCCAGAAACUGUCUCCUGACCCAGUAAGAGAGUAUUUGUCUGUGUAUCCCACUGUUCUUAACAUUUGUGCAGUCAAAAGAUUCCUCAUAUGUUUUUUGGCUCGGUCUUGCAAAUGCCAGAUAGAUACUUAGUGCUGAACUAGGUGUCCUUGGGCCCUCUGUGGCCCUGCCCUCUGAAUAUUUGGCCAAGCCAUGUGGCUAUAAUCAGCAGCAAAAUAUAGUGGGAUUCAUGAGAUAAUGCUGGCAGGGUGGAUGUGCUCCUUCUUGGGUUUGCGCGACCUGCAGGGUGGCAAGCUGCGACCUGCAGACUCCGCCCUUGUCAGACCAAGCGGCCAUCUUGGCCACCACGUUUCUACACCUCCUCUGAGGAGUGCCCUGUAGAAUCCUGACUUGCAAACAGGGGCUGGGCAAGGGAGGAGACUUUGAAACAUCUCCAGGAAUUCUUCUCUGGAAAGGAGUGCUAGAUGAGGGAUCUGCCAAUGAGUAAUUGACUUGUCACACCCCAGUCCCCAAACCCAGCCCCAGACAUUCUGGUGCCUAAAAGUGUCAUUUCCUGGCAAAGGUGAAGAAAGGGUCAGUUUCUACCUGUCAUUUCUUAUUCAGUGAGCUCUUGACCCACAAAGCAAACACAUGCCCAGCCUUGCAUCCACAGUUAGAGGAUUAUCCUUGACUUACACUGGCCCAGACCGGCUCUGGUGGAGCUGGCAUCUGCCAUGAACCUCCCAUUUUAUUUGAUGGCUUCCAUUUGGUAGGUAUUUAUAGAUGCAGCUAAUCCCCUCAGGUAUCAUUAUGCUCAUAAAAUGCAGGGGAAAAAAUAGCAUAGCCCCACCUACUUCUCUAGUGCUCUUAGGUUCAGUUAAUCACUUUCUUCUGAUUCACCCCAGCUUUCUUUAUUCUAGGAAUGAGCAGUAGGUGGCGCUGUGUAGCCACAAAGCACCUCCACCGGUCCUGGUCUUGUAACACCUGGCCAUCUGCCGGUGGGUUGGUUACAAGACCUAUUCUCACAUGGAACUCCUUAUAUGAACCUAUAGAACCCACGCACAUCCUCCUACACACUUUAAAUCAUCUCUAGAUUACGUGUCAUAUCUGAUAGGAUGUAAAUGCUGUAUAAAUAAUUGUUAUGCCUAUUGUUCAGGGGAAAAUGAAAAAUCUGUACAUAUUCAAUACAUACACUUUAUCUCUCCAAGGUUGGUUGAAUCCUCAGGUUCACAACCCAUGGAGAUGGAGAGCCAACUGCACUGGUUUCCCAGGGUCCUCUGUCGCCUGACAGCUUGCUCUACUGGUAGAAAGUUGGUGCUAGGCUGUUUUAACUCCAGAAAUCUACCUGGACCUACCUGAACCAGAGUUCAUGGAUGAAACUGCUGUGUUACAAUACCAUUCUUGUGAAGUCCAGGAUGACACAUUUAACAAUAUCUUUUGUGACUGACAUGAGCAAUGGCUUUUUCCUUGAAGUGAUAGUGAAUAUACUGAUUUGGGUUAAAUCACUAAACAAUAUUGCCACCAAAAUUUUAUACUCUUGUAUUUCUUCAAUUCAUUUGAAAAUUGGUUCAAAUUGCUGUAUCAUCUAGGAAUUUUAAGUUUAAUCCUUUAAAGAAUUUCCUUUCCCCAAAUUAGUUGAAAGCCUCAAGUUUUAAUUACACAUGUAUGUGUUUAGUUUGGAGGGAAGAAUGGUGUCAAAAACAAUGCCUCUAAUGAGUCUUUUUUUUUUAAACCACAUUAACUGAAGAAAAACAUUAGAAAACAAUACUUAGAAAUAUCGUCUGGGUUUUUGGUUUGGAUAAUUUUUUGCAAUGCUUUUUUUUUCUAGUUUUUACAUAGACCUACCAUUGAAUAGGAGAAAUUUUGAUACCAAUAACAAUAAAAAUUUACUGCCAACAACAAAGCAAAAAAGUGAAAAACAAAAAUGAUGUGCCCAGUGUGUAAUAAAUAAAUAACAUUAAAGAGAAAAGCUGAUACUAUUUGGGAAAGGGCUUUGCAGAUUAUAAAUUACCAUCUUAGGGUCAGUAGAGAAAACUUGUAUUGAAACACUUUCUAAGAUGAAGGACAAUCACGAAAAGACAGUUUUCUGUGGGUUUCCCAGGUAUGGGUUAAAUAUCCCUAAUCCCCAAAUCCAAUUUCUGAAAUGCUUAAAAUUUCAUGAAACUAUACAUCGAGAAUUCACUACUGGUGGAUUUGGAUAAUUUAAGAAUCACAUAAGAGAGGCUCACUCAGCCAUCAGGUUUGAUAGCAAUUUUUUUUUUUGCAUUUGUUUUAUAGUAUAGCUCUCUUUAUCUUGACACAAAGGAGCACUUGGCAAAAAGUCAUACUUCUCAAAUUUUUAAAAAUCUAUUGUAUAUCUUUUAUUAUAUAUUUUUUACCAUAAUAUGUGACAUUUAUUAUGUCUAUUAAUUCAUUCAGUGUUCUUACUCUAUGUAUUAUAUAUUGUUGACAUCAUUUUCAGAUAAGGAAACUAAGUUUUGCAUAAAUAAUAAAUGACAUUAAAAACCAUGAGGUAUGAAAGUAGAAAUUUAUAUAAAAUUUAAAAAGGAAUUUAAAAAUUUACAAAUUUUACAAAGCUGUCGAAAUAACACUUCCCUCCAUAAGAUUCUCUACAUUAAAAAAUUGUGAUGGAAUAUGUUUAACAUAAAAUGUCAGUUUAGCCGGGCCCAAUAGCACACACCAGUAAUCCCAGCUUCUUGGAAGGCUGAGACAAGAAGAUUUCAGGUUUAAGGCCAGCCUGGUCAACUUAGUGACACCCUGUUUCAAAAUAAAAUUUUGAAAAGUGGGCUGUGGCUGUAGCUCAGUGACAAGCACUUGCUUAGCAUGCAAGGCCUUGGGUUCAAUCCCCAAUACUGGAAAAAAAAUAGAGUCAUUUUAACCUCUCUUAAAUGUACUGAUCAGUGACAUUAAAUACUUUCACACUGGUGUGCAACCAUCACCACCCUCCAUCUCCAGAAAAUUUUCAUGAUCUCAAACUAAAACUCUGUACCCAAUUAAACACUAACUCCCCAUUGUCUCUCUACUCCAAUUCCUGGAAAAUACCAUUCUACUUUUUCUAUGUGGGGUACCAGUCUAGGUACCCAUAUGAGUUGAAGUGCACAGUAUUUUUUUUUGUUUGUGUGUGUGCAGGGAACCACACAGCAUUGUUACUUUGUGACUAGAUUAUUUCACCAAAUGUAAUGUCUUCAGGGUUCAUCCAUGUUGUAUGAAUUUUCUUCCUUUUGUAAGUCUGCAUAAUGUUCCAUUGUAUGAUGGUUUACCCGUCCAUUCAUCGAAGGACACUUGAAUUGCUUCACCUUUUGGCUAUUGUGCAUAAUGCUGUAGUGAACAUGGGUGUAUGAAUAUCUGAGUCCCUGCUCUCACAUUUUUUGGGGGGUUUCAUAUCCACAGGUCAAAUUGCUGGAUCAUCUAGGAAUUUUAAGUUUAAUCCUUUAAAGAAUUUCUAUUACUGUUUUCUACAGCAGCAGCACCAUUUUAUAUUUCGUGUAAGAAACAAGUAUUCCAAUAUCUCCAUGUCUUUGCCAAUAAAUUUUUUCCUGUUUUUUUUUUAAUGAUACCUAUCCUUUGAAAAGACCUCACAUGUCUUUUUUUAUGGGAUUGGUGAAUUAAUACUAUUAAAAUAGCCAAACUACCCAAAGUGAUCUAUAGGUUUGAUGCUAACCCCAUCAAAAAUACCAAUGACAUUUCUCACAUAACUAGAAAAAAAACAAUCCUCAUAUUCAUAUAGAAGCACCAGAGAUCAUGAAUAGCCAAAGUAAUGCUGAGCCAAAAGAACAAUGCUAAAAGCGUCACAAUACCUGAUUUCAAAAUAUGUUACAGAGAGCUAUAGUAACAAAACCAGUAAGGUGUUGGUAUAAAAACAGAUAUAUAGAACAGAAUAGAGGACUCAGAAAUAAACCCACAUAUCCAAAGCCAUUGAUUCUUGACAAAAGUGCCAAAAAUAUAUACUGGGGAAGUCAGACUCUUAAAUGCUGCUGGGGAAACUGGAUGUCCAUCUGUAGAAGAUUGAAACUAGAUCCUUACCUCUCACUCUACACAAAGGAACUCAAAAUGGCUUUGAGGCUUUAAUGCAAGACCUGACACUUUGAAACUACUAGAAGAAAACAUAAGGGAAACUCUCCAAGAUAUGGGCCCAGACAAUGAUUUCCUGAAUAGGACUCCAAUGGCCCAGGAAACAAGACCAAAGAUUGACAAAUAGGAUUAUAUCAAAUUAAAAUCUUCUGCCCAAUAAAGGAAACAAUCAGGAGAGUGAAGAGUCAGCCUACAGAACGGGAGAAAAAUCAUUGCCAGCUAUUUAUCUGACAGAGGAUUAAUAUCCAAAAUACAUAAAGAACUCAAAAACUUAACAAAAAAACUUAAGUAAGCCAAUAAAAAAAUGGGUAAAUGAUCUGGACAGUUACCAAAAGAAGUAGAAAUGGCCAAUAAACAUAUAAAAAAUAUUUGAUGUCUUUAGCCAACAGGGAAAUGCAAACUAAAACUAUAUUGAGAUUCCAUCUCACCCAAGUCAGAAAUAAUAAAAUAACAAAUGCUGGUGAUGAUAUGGAGGAAAAGGAACUCUUAUACACAGCUGGUGGGAAUUUAAAUUAGUACAGCUGCUAUGUAAAAAGAGCAGAAUUUCCUCAUAAAAACUAGAGACAGAAUCACCAGGUACCCAGGUAUUCCAUUCCUUGGUCUAUAUCUAAAGAAACGAAGUCCAUGUAUAGAAGAGAUACCUGCAUGCCCUUGAUUACUGUAGCACUGAAGUGAAAAUAUGGAAACAACCCAGGUGCCCUUUAACAGUUUGGAAAGUAAAUCACUUCAUUUUUUUUAAGUCCAAGGUUCCCUUUGAACAAAAUAAGACCAAAACCGUCCUGAGCAUCUGUGAACAUCACAUGAGACAAUGCAUUUGUAAACAGGGGGGAAAAACUCUAUAGAAAUUGCUGGACUGUUUUGAUAAAAUUAGCAGGAAUGGGACAACAUAUGCCUACAGCGGGUUUUUACAAGGCUGGAGUGACUCUGGAUAAUGUCACCAGAUCUACCAGACAUUGGGCAUUGUGUGGCUGGGAUCUCCGGUAGAGGUGUCGGGGAGUGUCUAUCCACUGUUCCCUGAAGACCAGGGCAAAGAGAGAGAAUGACCCAUGAAAAGGGAAUACUGGCUUUGAGUUCCCUCUGUGUCAACCUGGGGACUCUUCAUUGUCAAAAUGUAUUUGUUCACGGGAUUCUAGAGAAAGCCUUGGAAGGAUGGGAUCAGGCUGCGACGGGCGAGGAGGUGUCAGACCCUGGCGUUUUCUAGACAGGCUGCUUGAAGACCACACAGGCCCUGCUUACACCUUGGUCCACAGGUGGGUUUCGCGCCAUUCAGAACCUUCUUCAGAGAACAGAACAGGGAAGGUGGAGAUUGAGAUUGAGAGAGAGACAGAGAUUAUCUGAAUGUCCUUUCUGAGAGAGAGACAGACAGACAGACAGACACACUAUCUGAAUGUCCUUUCCUCGUUGGUGUCUGGUUGUCUCUUCUCCAGGUGGCCACUCCAUACAGCACAGUGGAGGGUAGACCUGCCUAGAGAGGAGCCUGACACACAGUGGGCAUAUUUCAAAAUUAAUCAGAACGUGACUGUCUCCUCAGUUCCCUGUCUGGGAAAUGCAGUGAUCCCUAUAUCCGUUUGGAAUAGGAACGUUGGUGCAGAGAACCUCACAGCCCCUUCUUCACAUCUCCCUGAAUGCCAGCCUCAAGUGAGAAGCCAGCCCCACGUCUAAUCAGUCCUACCACCAGGCUCGGGGAGAAAAGGAACCCUCUAGCAAUUCCAGAGUCCUCCAACCUCGAAACGGUUGAAAUGGUUUGCUUUAAAAACUGAACUACUGAUUCAAGAUAAUCUAAGUCAAAAUGCCAGCAUUUUUUUUUGAAUUGAUAAUCUGUUUGUAAAAGUUAUGUGGAAGUACAAAGGCCCGAGAAAAGAUGAGACAUUGGUAGAGAACAAAAUUGAAGCUUCUACACUAUCAGAUAUCAAGGCUUAUCAUAAGCAAAUAGUAAUUAAAAGGAUGUAGUAUUGAGGCAAGAAUAGAAAAAUAGUCAAAGGAACAGAAAAAAGAGUCCAGAAAUAAGCCCACACAUUAAUAGGCACCGACUGCAUCUAUGGCAGAAACUCUGGUGCAGAGAAGAGGAAAAGGAUCGUCUCCAUAAUUGACAUAAAGGCUAUUUGUUACCCAUAUUAAAAAGAAGGAAAAAUCUUAAAAAAAGAAUUCUAUCUUCCCCUUUCCAAAGGGCUGAGCCAGCCUCAACAAACCUUAGAGAAAUCUCAUGUUCUCCAGGGCUGCCUCAGUGCUUCUCCCCAUCCCCGCAGACCAAGAGCAAGAGAGGAGCAAGAAUUAACACUGGCCUGAGAAAGGCGGCAGGCUAGUGACUGCCAACAAGGAUGCUGGCUCAGAGCUUAUCUGGAUGGGCACCUGGGGAGCAGGCUUAGUGUCUGCAGCAGAGUCUGGGUGUCCCUACAACCGGCAGGGCCCCUGGCAAACAGGAACAAGAUGGCGGGUAAGGAGUUUAACUGCCUUCUCCCUCCCCCAGUGACCGUCCUUCAGACAACAGGGUGGCUGGAGGUACAGAAUAGGACCAGGGUGUCUUUCUUUAUCCCAAUACAGCUGGCCUGGCCUUUUUGAGGGAACACAGAGAUGCUGAGCAGGUGAACACCCUAGGGACAUCCUCAGACCCCAUUUUCACUCCUGGGGACAGGACAUGCUGAAACUAAACCCCAGGGACACUCAGAUUCCUGUCUCAUUCCCCGAACUCCUGUCAAAGGAGCCAAUCUGCAGCUGAGGGGAACCAGAUGUUUUGAGGCCGCAUCCUCCUGCCCAGCAGUCGGCUGGAAGGCCUCUCUUAAAAGCCUGGGUACCUGGCUGAUGGGGGUGGGGAGGAAGGAAGAGAGUGGGAGAAAAUUAGACAAAGGAAGACUACCAUAAAACCAGCAGCAUGUCUGUAAUCACCAGAGCCCUUUGUUUAGAGCGGGUUUAAACAAGUUGGGAUCCUUUGGAAGGGGGGCCAUAAACCCAAGGGAAAAUAAAAGUGUUUACAGCAAAGGAGACCCAGGUGCUGUGGGAUUCGUUUGGCCAGGAUCAAUGGGGGAGUGGCGGGGAGCAGGCCUGGUCUGCACUGAGGCUGAGACUGGCUUCCUCUCUGGGCUGGGCUGGCUCCCAACAUCAGAGCAUCAAACCUAGAUGGGGGAGGGGGAGGUGCCCCCACCACCUCCACUUCAGGCAUCCAGGAACCAUCCCACAUUCCAACUGGGGAAAGCAGGGACAAGAGGGCAGGGUGCCAGUGGGGCUUUGGGACUUGGAAAAGUCAUCGCCCUGGGCCCAGGAGGUCUCUCUACUGCACAAAUUCCUUUAUAAUGGACUCAGGGAGGUACAAUAAUAAGAGGUUUGAAGACAGUCCGAUUCUCUAAGAAAAAAGUGCCUCUGGGUUCCAAUUUAUCAGAUGGGAAGGUGUAAGGAGGGAGGUUUUGCCUGAGGAAACGCAUUCCUCAGGGAGCGACAGGCAGGUUGUGGGUGCUGAGGGGAAGGAUGUUUGUGAAAGUAAAGCUGAAGGUGGUUCUGUUGGAAAUGUCUAGAAGGCCUCGCCUGACCUGCUCUGCACACCCUCCCCCAUGUGCUUCCCGUGCAGCAUUAACAGUGCUGAUGACCAGCGUCCCUGUCCCCAUUUACCCACUCAAAAUUUAGCCUGCAUCUAUUUUAGGCCAGGCAAACAAGUCAGGGUCCAUAGAGACACAGGACACAGUCCCUGUCUUAAAAGUAGGUCAGCUUGGAGAUGGCUAGCAAUAGCAUGUUCAGAACAUGUAUGCAUGUAUAUAUAUGUUCAUGUUUUGAAGACCAUUAAUUCUCCCCAAGAAUAUAAGUGCCCAUGUAACAUGAUGCCUUUAGGGAAUGACAGUACCAAAUAAAGCUAAUGACUCUUGGAUGUAUACUGUGCUAUGUCAUCAUAGUGAAAUUUGUUGUUUGGGUUCUGCAGGAAAGGUUGGCAGACUUUGUUUUACCAAAAAAAAAAAAAUCACACUAAGGUUUCAUCCAUACUCAAAAGGAAAGUGAGUAAUCAGAAGCACAGGGAAAAAUCUACCUGGUCUCUUUUGCCCAUAAGACAUCUGUGUGACUCUUUAACUUGAAACAGCUGUCAAGGGGUGUGACCAAAUGUGGACCUCUUAAAGAUAAGUCCAGUGGGAUCCUUCUCUUCUGACAUUCAUGUACUUGGUUCUUGGAUCUGCCUUGUGUGUUGAAGCGGUCAGCUUUCUUCCAGAAUACCCAAUAUGUUUCUUUAGCAGGAGAUCCGGUCAAAAAACAUGCAAAGAUGCCUGUUCCAUCUUUAAAAUUCCAUUUUUCAUAAUUUGAUUUCAAAAGCAUUUUGGUCCAAGCUUUGGCCACUCAAGUGACCUCCCUAGGACUAUUUUCUGAUUCAUAAAAUUGAUUAACUUAUGAACUCUGAGCUCCUGAUUAGCUAACAAGGAAAAAAAUAAAUAAAUUCUAAGUAACAAAGUUGUCUGGUCAUGUGCACUUUAGGAAUGACAUUCUAUCCACUUUGGGGAAAGUAUUUUGCAUGCCCUGAGCCUUUGGUGACAUUCAGCAUUUAUGGGGCCUUGGUGUAAGAGGUCUUUCAUCUCAUUUAGAGCUUGAUGCAAAUAGCAAUCCUCUCUCAAAGCUCAGCUCCCUGGGGAGAGGCCCCAGAGACAGACCUUGUGCAUCUUUGAGUCCAAAGGGUGGCAGCAGCUUCUUCCCCCAGGGCUGGUAUCUUUCUCCUUCAACGAAGGUACUGAGUCAUUGUGCCAGGUCAGGCAGCUCCCAGAGGAGGACACAGCCACCAAAAGAACUGGAGGUAGCUGGUUGUAAGGGAGUACAUGGAGAUCAUGCCCCUUGGACCUGAAAAAUCAGUGUUUUGUGAGAGAAGAAAACACAGUGCAAGGAAAGGGCAGGAGCUUAGAAAUUAGGCCAGAGAACCCAGGAGUCAAGGCCACGCUCCACCUGCAUGCUCUGUACUUGGCACACCUGUUCCUAAGCCAGGGCAUUUUACUCUCCUUCCAAGAUGUGCUUGGUGGCAUGCUGUGCCGGAAUCAGCUGGCAGACAAGGGGUGAACUCCAGCCCUUCUCUUUUCAUUAUGGCACAUGAUGUAAAACUUUAGUUUUAUACUUGAUGGAACACGAACAUAACUGAGUAGCAAGUGUUCAUGGAUAUUACGUCGAAAACAUGAUCUUUAAAGACAGUGCAAAUUUGCCUGGGCCCAUCUCAGCCUGUGCCCAUCCCUGUGCCCAAAGUCCUGCAUUGUCCCAGCUCCCCUGGGAACUCCGAGUCACAGCCACCAACCCCAUAAGUUCAGCAUGCCCUAGACAUCACAGGACAGACACACGUCAGCAGUGAUUAGACGUGGAACAGGGUUUAAUUAAGUGCUGAAUGCUGUGUGUUUUAUUAUAUUUUAUUUAGAUGCUGUGGAUCGAACCCAGGGGUACUUUUCCACUGAGCUACAUCCCCAGCCCUUUCAAUUUUAUUUUAUAAUAAAUAAAAAUCUGUCUCAGAAUGAUUCAACGACUCAGAUCCGAAUUUGAACUUUAGGCGGACAGAGUCGGAGGUCUCAGAUACCCUAGUCUCCGUUCACGGUAGUGAACCUCGACUUACGACACUAGUCAUAAUCUUUAUGUACUCCUAAAACUGUCCUUCUACAGACCUCCCGGACCCCCAGUGUCUUCACAAAACACCGUUCCGUCUACACCUACCCACGUCUCCUCCCCAUCCGUGAGAUACGGGACCUCCACCCAUUGUCCUCGGUCGGACUCCUUUCAGGACGACCGUCUCCUCCAUCUGGUGACUACCGUUCUAUCCCUUUGUCCCGUACUUCAAACCUAUAGUACUCCGUCCGUCACUCUCAGUACNAGGAGCCAGCCUGAGGAAAGUCCUGCUGGCAGAGGAGGUAGACCACUGAUGGCAAGAUAGGGAAACAGGGCAUGAAGUUUGGAUAUCAUGAGGCAGGCAGUGAGAGUCAUGAAUGGGUCAUAGGAGGAGCAAAGGGUUAGGAGCAUGAACUCUGGAAUACACCACAGGGUUGAAUCUUGGCAUGGUCACUUUCUAUCUGCAUGGCCUUGUAAGUGACUUACCUGUGCUUUAGUUUCCUGAUACAGCUUUGGCACCUAAGCCUGCAGUUUUGCUGUAAGUUUGUGGCAGAGAGCUCAGCUCUCCCUCCCAGUUCUUGAAGCAGCUUGUGGGCCAAUAGCACAGGGUAGAAACCCCAAGGAAGAAGGAGGCUGGAAAUGCUUAGAGACUCCUCCUUUUAUCUCACCUAAGUCACACGCGUUUACUUGUUUCACAUUAGUUUCGAAGUCCUGCGUAAUCGGUUCACUCUCCACUGUGCGGGGUGUGAUCAUCUGAGGAGGAAAAAGUGAGGACAGAGAAAUGCACUGAGCAUUAUUUCCCACCUAUUUCGUGCUCUCUUUGGGGUGGCUUGAUCCCCACUGGGCCAGCCAGCAGGAGGCCACAGAGGGACAGGGUCUGGGACACCCAGAACCCACAGUCUGGUGUUCAAAUCUUUGAAGCACAUCAGAGCAAUUUUCAAGUCUGCUUUUCUGAAAAUUUGCAAUGCGUACACUCUAGCUGCAACUUAAAAAGAACAAGAAAUAGAAAAGGAAAGGGGACGGAAGGAAAACGGAAAGGAGGUGUGUGCAUUGGGCUCCUGGGAAACAGAGCUACAGUGUCCUGAGAUAAAUUUACAGACACUGGAGCUGUGCAGGGGCCUUCCUGAAGCUGCUGGUGUGCAGAAGGGUUGUGUCUUCUUGUUCUAGGAUCUUGGGGAAGAAAGAGAUUCACAGUGGGGAACAGAGUGAGGUCACACAGCCUCCCCACCUUUUAUGAACACUUUGUCCUGUUGGGGUGUUUCCAGUACCCUCCUCACAUGGUCCCAGGGUGCCGGAGGGACACUGUGGACUGAGGGUGUCUGUGCUCUUGAAGCUGGGUGUAGGGGAUGUGAAGGAAGAAAGGGGGUUGAGGAGAGAGAAAAGAGGGAAAGGAGGAGGGGGAAAGGACAGAGAGAGAUGAAAGAAAGGGAGAGGAAGGGGGAGAGGGAAAGGCAGAGGCCAGGUGGGGUGGGGAGGGGAGAAAGGGUCAGUUAGAGGUGGGAGGGGCAAGAGGCAGAGAGAGAAAGUGCACUUUCUAGCAGAUAAACACAAAGCUCUGAGCUUUGGGGGUAUCUCCUUAUUCCUCAGGCAGCUCGCCCUACUCUGCCUGACCUGGCAUCUGCUUUGCUAUCUGAACCAAGCUCCUCAGCAACUGAGUUGAGAUUGUCACCGGGGUUUUUUAAAUACCUGUUGUCUCUGGCGCCCUUUCCACCCACCCCACCUGACAGUGCUCCACUUCUCCUCUAUGCAACAGGCACUUAUCUGUGGAUGGCCAGCACCAUGCUAGGCCCCAGGUAUAGUUCCCGGAGCAGAGAACCUCUGUUUCUGACCCCAGGGAAAGUAUGGGGACCAUUCUAAUGUUCCAUCUAACUCCUCUUCCAUGGGAUUAUGAGCACUGUCUACCUAGCUUGAGUUAUUGAGAGACUAGAAUAUUCUUAAGCAGAGAAAAUACAUAAUCACCCCCACGGACCCAACCCCAGCUCUCAGUUUUCAGUUCAAAACCAAAUUUGUUUCAUCUUCUCUUGUAUUUCCCCACUCCACCUGCACCCCUAGAGGAUCCUGAAGCAAAUCCCAGAUAACUCACCAUUUAUAAAUACCUUGGAGAGUAUUUUUAAAUGAUAAAGAUUCUAAAAAAUUACAAUCGGAGGAUAGUUCAUCUAAAAUGGGCAAUAAUUCCUCAGUGUCAUUUAAUAUUUAAUCUAUAGUCACAUUUUUCUGAUUGCCUCUUAAUUUUUAAUCUGUACAUUAUUUCCCAUAUAACUUUCUCUUUUCCUCUCUCUCUCUCUCUCUCUCUUUCAGAGUUAUUUCUUUUAGUUUCCUACAGGCUGGGUUUUGCUGAUGCAAUUCUUAUGGUGUCCUUUAACUCUACUUCUGGCUCUUGUAUUUGAAGAGCUAUAUGCUGGUGAGGUGUGUGUGUGUGUGCGCGCGUGCAUGUGUGUGUGUGUGUGUGUGUACACAUACACACAUGCAGAUCUGCUUCAUAGGUAGUGUGUAUUUUCAUCAGGAAGUGCACAAGGCCUGUCUUUCUCUCUUUGUGUGUUGUUACUAGUCAUUGGAAGUCAUUUCCUAUGACUCAUUCAUUGGGGAAAUUGUAAAAAUGAUGAUGUUUUAAUAUUUUCCAUCAUUUUUUUUUUCAUCUUUUAGCUGGAAUACUCUUCCCUUAGCCAUUCUGGUUGCCCUUAGGUUCAGAUUAUACAGAAAAUGAGGGACACGUCCUUGGUUUGCCAGUUCAGAAAUGAAGAAAGAUCUGGCUCCAUAACACCUUCCAAAGGUAAUAAAUAAGCUGUGAAUGCCACAGAGGACUUGGUACUCUGUGAACUCAGGGACUUAAGUUACUUGAUCAGUUUCAGUCCCCUGCAGUUUUCAUCCUUAAUAGAGAUGUUUAACUUGUUCCAUCAUUGGCCAGUGAGAACAUUUAUAGGCUUAGCUCCAACUCUUUUGGUACCACCAGAGUAGACUUUGAUAUCUCCCUUUCUUUCUGGUAUGAGGAAUAUAGUUUAAUUUUCUGCCCCAGACCCACAAUUAACCAUUUCUCCAAGGAUUUCUGGUUGCUUUUUGUGGAGAUGAUCAUCUGAAUACUGAGAGUGCUAAUUACCCCAGGAAGGUCAUUGUUUCUAGGUCUUUUCUGUGGACAGAGCUAGAGAAUAUGCAUUUUUAAAACUAAAGGUGAAGCUCAUCAUCAAAUAUUCUUCUGAUACUUCCAUCCAAGCCUGGGAUUACAGGGAUGGGCCUGAACUUCAUGGGUCUUAUACCACAUCUCCUUUCAAUCACAGCGAAAAGUUCUCAAAGAUACCAGCACAGUCACUCAUCAGAACUGUCCCACAACACCGGGACAACAAUCUCACCCAUAUGACCAUCAGCAACAUGAUUACAGUCCCUGAAUUCAUGGCUCAAGGAAUUCCUGCCUCAGCCUCCAGAGUGAAAUAGCCUGGACUACAGGGCACACCACCGCCCCUGGCUAUUUGCGGUUCUUUCUGUCCUUAGGAACUAUCCACUGAGAGUGUACAGUCUCACUCUAGGGCUUUUCAAUCACCUGCCAUUGCUCUUGGGGUAAGGGUAUACACUGGGGGCAAUCACUUUCCUCCUCCUUCCAGCUUUUAGGAAUUGCCUUUUGAUUUAACUUUUUCUCAUCAUUAUAUAAAAUAUUUACUGGUUCCAAAAUAAACUCUAUAAAACUUGUUGUAGGGCUGGGGAUGUACUCAGUGGUAUAGCACUAGUAUACAUGUUUGAGGCUCUGUUUCACCCCCAGCAACACACACACACACACACACACACACAGUCUCCAAAACUUGGCAUAUGAAAAAAGUCUACCUUUUAUCUCUGGAUCCUUUAGUUUAUUCUCUCCUUCCUUCUAGUGGUAAGCAUUUUAAAACUAUGACCUAUUCUUUCACUUUUAAAUGCAUAUAUAUAACAUAUAUAUGUAAUAUAUAUGUAAUGUAUAUAUGUAAUAUAUAUGUAAUAUGUAUGUAUAUAUAAUAUAUAUACAUAUAUAUGUAUUUGUAUAUAUAUAUAUAUAUGAGAUCUAGAUUGAGAUAUAAUUUGUAUACCAUCAAAUACAUCUUUUUAAAACUAUGUAUGUGCCUUGUUUUCUUAGAUAAAGCAGUGGCAUAUAAUAAGCACUUUCCUCUACUUUGCUUUUUGCACUAGUAGUAAGUCCUAAAGAGCCUUCCCUGCUAGUAUCUAGAGACUAUCCUCAUUUAUUAGCACAGUUACAUUGCAUAAACGUGUCAUCAUUUAUACCAUUAGUACCCUAUUGAUGGACAUUUGGAUCAUUUUCAGAUUUUUGCUUUUACAAAAGAUGCAUGUAUUUCUUUUCUGAUUUUGGCCAGCUUACCUUUGGGAUAGAGCCGUAGAAAGGAAAUUGCUGAGUCAAAGGUAAAUGAACAUACAAUUUUCUAGACAUUGUCCAAUCUCCUCCCACCAAAAAUGUCUGAGAGACCUGUUUCCUCACAGCCUGGUCAGCACUGUAUGUUCUCAGCUUCUGCAAUUUUGCUAUGCAGCUGACAGCAACUGUCUCCAUGUAGUUUUACUUUGGGUUUAUCUGCAGAUGCAUGGAGUUGGGAACAUUAUCAUGUGGUUAAGAACUACUUACAGUUCUUUUCUUGAGAAUUGCGUUUUAAUUUCUCAUUCAUUUUCCCCAGAGGUUGUAAAGCCCUCUGCAAUAUGAGUGUAAGCAUUUCCCCUAAAUUAUCUUUUAUGUUUUUUUUACUUUGUAGGGCCUAUAAAAAGGCAAAAAGGAUUUUUGUUGUUGUUUCACAUAAGCAAAUUUAUCAGUCUCUCAUUACUUCCACUUUUGAAACAUAGACAGACUUCCCCUAUUUCUAGUUUAUGGAUUUGACAUGGAUCCUUUACAGUGUACUAAAUUCCCAUAUGAAAUUUGGUCCAUUCUUGGAUCUUCUAUUCUGUUCCAUUGAUCUGUCUCUUAAUUCUCAGGACAUGAAGCUGUUUUAAUUAUAAAAGAUUUAUUAUACACUCUAUUGCCAAGAAAGACUAUCUCUUCUCCUCAUCUUUCUUUCCCAUGAUUGUCCUAGUUAUUCAUGUUUGUGCACAGAACUUUCUACAAGUUUUAGAAGUUACCCGGUUUCAAUCAGUGUAUCUUGUACCUUGUUUGGAUCCUCAUUCAAAUAAGGCAAAUAAUAUUUUUUAAAGGUUUGUAUAAAGGCCAAAGAAAUGCUCCUAUAUGCAUUUGAUGAAAUUAAACAAUUUUCUUUUUUGUGUUUGAUAAGACAGAUAAUAAAGUGGCCACAAAUUACAUUUUACAUUUGCUUCCAAGUAAUCCUGGUGGUAGGUGGAGCGGGAAGAUGUAGAGGAAACAAAUGAGCCCUAAGUUGAUCAUUGUCGAAGCUCAGUUAUGGGUCUCUGGGACUCAUUUCAUCAUUCUAUUUAUUUUAUGUAUGUUUAAAAUUCCCCCUAAUAAAAAGCUUAAAAAAGGGGAAAUGAUAUUCAAGUUCUAAAGUGUUUGAAAUAUGGAGCAAUAUAAGAGUUUUCUUAUCAUAUUUAGCAAAAUGGGGAUAUUUCGAAUAAAGAAAAUUGUCAUCAGAAGAAGCUACGACAGAAAGAAAUACUCACCCUGGUGUCCCAGCACCAGCUUGGCUCGGUGCCAGGGGAAUUUGCUGAUCCUUUUCUCCAUUAAACAUUUACCUGGUGCUGAACUAUAUCCUUUACUGGAAUUUAAAGGUCCACUAUAGGUGUGCCCAGAUUUAUAAGCCAGAUGAGUUCCUGAAAAGCUGGGUUUAAAUUUUUAUAUUUUGUAAUUGUUAACCAACCAUGUUGCUCAAUGUAUAUUUCUGGUGGUCCUUGAAAUUUCUUAAGUGUUCCAAAAGGAUAAAACCAAUACGAUAUCGUAAAUGUCAUUUUUACAGAGUUUCUUUUUUUUUUAAGCAAUGUAAUUUUUUGAAAGAAAAAAAAUGGCCUGGACUGUAUACAACAGACCAGUGCUUUCUCUACACCUUGGCACUUGGUAAAGUGAAUUUUGUUCAGUGCUUUAAAUUGGCACUCAAACCUGCACUUGACACCCUGGAUUUCAUAGUUUGGGGACUAGAAGGGUGAGCCUUUGCUCAACAGGCGAUGACAUUUUCCCAGUCCUUUAAAUUGUAAGAGAUUGUGUGAGGGGGGGAAAUGCAAAUGGAACUGGGUGGUUGGGGUUAGGGAAGAAGGGAAACAAUUAUAUAGCCUUCAAUUCCUUUUACAAUCAAUAGUGGGUAUAAGUGUUUCCUGUUAAAUAUUAAUAAAUACAACUAUUUUUUUUUUUUUGGUGGGAGGAAAGGCUGAGCACUGAGUAAACCAAGGAUAUAGAUGCCACGACCCAGAAAUUCGGCUCUUGAAGCAGACUUUAGGGAAACGUAUGCGAUGUAUGUCUGAACACGGUACAAAGUUGUGUGUCAACAAGAUUGUUCACGACAGCCAAAUACUGGAAAUAGCACAAAUGUCCAUUGACAGCUGGACAGAUCUGUCCAUUGUUGGAUAUUGACAUCUUGGAUAAUCACACAGCUAUAAAGAUGAACAAACCAUGGCUCAAUCCAACAAUGUGGGUGAAUGUCACAACAGUAAUGCUGGUGAAAAAAGUCUAGGCAAACAAGAAUACACACGUAUUAUUUAGAAACUGUAUUGCUAAAGGAUUAUACACAGGUGUUAAAUAAAACUACAACAGGCAUGGGGGGGAAAGGAAUGUUUAAACUCACACUCAGCUAUGAACAACCCAUCACCACAGAGGGCAGGAUGCUGGCUCUCACAGUGGAGAGGGGAACUGAAUGGGAAGGGAUCCCUAGAAGUAUCUGGGAUCUGGAAAUGUCAUUUAUUGGUCUGGUUGAUAAAUGCUCAGGGACACAUGAAAAUUAUUUUUAAACUGAAUAUUUGUUUAUAUGUACUUUUCCGGGUAUGUUUUAUUUCUCCAUUAAAAGGUUAAAAAUUUUAAGUUAGUGAAAGGGCUUUUAAAAAUUUAUGGGACACAUUUUCUCUUGGAUUGCCUAUAAAUGAAGAUGCAUCACUUGCCAAAUAGCUUCUGUGGAACUUUGUAAAGUCACUGAACUGCUGAAUCCCAUAGCUCAUGCUUACGUAAAGGACGUUGGAGAAAUGACAGAUGAGGGAAGUAAAGCAUCUGAUUGUUCUCACAGUGGUACUUUCUGCUGAAUUACCACUUUGAAAAUACACAUAUGUGUUUCUGGGUUAUGUAAUUAUUUGUAAAGGGAAAACUUAAAUGGAGAAAAUAAUAGCUCAUGGGGAGAGAUUGAGACAGAUUUUUUUUUAAAGUAUAAAAGAGAAUUUAUACUUAGAAUAAAAUACCCUUUGUACUUGGGUGUGUGUGUACGUAGGCAAGGCAAGGGGACUUUUCUGAGUAACGAGUUAAAGUGAAAUUACCAUUAUUGCAAGUUCAACCUUGAGAAAGCCUUAAGGCUUUGCCCUGCUCUAAGCAGCCCAGGGAGCCCUUUCAACCAUCAGAUUGUCCCUGCUACCAACCCCUGAACACUCAUUUAGGAUGCAUUACUAGAUUUUACAUUUAUUAACUAGUACCUAGCUUCUGCGUGAUGAAUCAUUAUAAAAGAUUUAUGUGUCUUGUACAUGGCACUGGGUUUGAGAAAUGAGAAUAAGUUGCAGAAACUCACUGGACAACUCCACAUAGGGAUUGGCUCUGAGGGAAGAGAAGGAAGGAUGGAAGUAGCUGAACGUUAUUGCAUGCCUGGUGCUAUAUGAGUUGCUCUGACACAUAAUCCCCACUAUCUUAUCAGCAGUAGCUCCUGCAAAGAGCGUGCAAACCCCCAAGGAUGGACAGUGGUUCCCAUCUGAUGGGGGAGGAAACCAGGAUCUUGGGAAAAGUAGGGGGCACAACCAGGGCGAGUGAGAGUUACUACAGAAAAUGGCAACUGGAAUUGGGAUAAGAGGCCAAGAUAUAAAGAAAAUCUAGUUGCUUUGAUUAAUAUACUAAUUAUAAUUAAGGCUAAGCCCUGAGCCUAAGAAAAUAAAUAUCCAAAAUAUGAUCUGCUACAGUCUACCUGAUUUUUAUAAUAUUUGGUCAUAAUAAUCAGGUGUGUGGUACAGUAGUCCUCCUUAUCCUCAGUUCCCACUUUUUGCAGUGUCAGUUACCUGUACCCAACAGGGAUCUGAAAAUAAUAUUUUUACAUGUAUUACAUGUAUUACAUUAAUAUAUUAAUAUAUUACAUGGAAAGACUCCAAAAAUAAACACUUGUGAAGUUUUAAAUAGCUUUACUAUAUUGUUACAGUUAUUCUAUCUUAUUAUUGUUGUUGUUAAUCACUUACUAUGUCUAAUUUAUAAAUUGAACUUUAUCAUAGGUAUGUGUGGGGGAAAAAACAUAGUACAUGUGGUGUACCUCUACUUACAGUUUGAAGCAUCCCCUGAGGGUCUUGGAACACGUCACCUGUGGAUAAAGGGGACUAUUGCAUUGGUGGAGGAAUAGAUACCUAGAUUAGUGGAACAAAAUAACUCAGAAACAGACCUAUGCAAAUAUGCUUAAUUGGAUUUUGAAAAAGGUGCAAAGGCAACUCAGUGGAAGAAGGAUUCCCAUUGGGGGGGGGGGGGAGAUUCUAGGGCUGGAGAUGUUUAGCCCUUGCCUGACACACACUGAGGUCCUGGGUUCCACCUCCAACACGGCAAUUAAAAAAAAAUGGUGCUGGACAUAAAAGGAAACAAAAUGAACAAACAAAAAAAACUUGACUGAGACUAAUCCACAAAGUUACAACUAUCUUAUAUUUGAUAAAGGGGCUCAAAGCAUGCAAUGGAGGAAGGAUAGCAUCUUCAACAAAUGGUGCUGGGAAAACUGGAAAUCCAUAUGCAACAACAUGAAACUGAAUCCCCUCCUCUCUCCAUGCACAAAAGUUAACUCAAAGUGGAUCAAGGAGCUUGAUAUCAAAUCAGAGACUCUGCGUCUGAUAGAAGAAAAAGUUGGCUCCGAUCUACAUAUUGUGGGGUCGGGCUCCAAAUUCCUCAAUAGGACACCCAUAGCACAAGAGUUAAUAACAAGAAUCAACAAAUGGGACUUACUUAAACUAAAAAGUUUUUUCUCAGCAAGAGAAACAAUAAGAGAGGUAAAUAGGGAGCCUACAUCCUGGGAACAAAUUUUUACUCCUCACACUUCAGAUAGAGCCCUAAUAUCCAGAGUAUACAAAGAACUCAAAAAAUUAAACAAUAAGAUAACAAAUAACCCAAUCAACAAAUGGGCCAAGGACCUGAACAGACACUUCUCAGAGGAGGACAUACAAUCAAUCAACAAGUACAUGAAAAAAUGCUCACCAUCUCUAGCAGUCAGAGAAAUGCAAAUCAAAACCACCCUAAGAUACCAUCUCACUCCAGUAAGAUUGGCAGCCAUUAUGAAGUCAAACAACAACAAGUGCUGGCGAGGAUGUGGGGAAAAGGGUACACUUGUACAUUGCUGGUGGGACUGCAAAUUGGUGCGGCCAAUUUGGAAAGCAGUAUGGAGAUUCCUGGGAAAGCUGGGAAUGGAACCACCAUUUGACCCAGCUAUUGCCCUUCUCGGACUAUUCCCUGAAGACCUUAAAAGAGCGUACUACAGGGAUACUGCCACAUCGAUGUUCAUAGCAGCACAAUUCACAAUAGCUAGACUGUGGAACCAACCUAGAUGCCCUUCAAUAGAUGAAUGGAUAAAAAAAAAUGUGGCAUUUAUACACAAUGGAGUAUUACUCUGCACUAAAAAAUGACAAAAUCAUGGAAUUUGCAGGGAAAUGGAUGGCAUUAGAGCAGAUUAUGCUAAGUGAAGCUAGCCAAUCCCUAAAAAACAAAUGCCAAAUGUCUUCUUUGAUAUAAGGAGAGCAACUAAGAACAGAGCAGGGAGGAAGAGCAGGAGGAAAAGAUUAACAUUAAACAGAGACAUGAGGUGGGAGGGAAAGGGAGAGAAAAGGGAAAUUGCAUGGAAAUGGAAGGAGACCCUCAUUGUUAUACAAAAUUACAUAUAAGAGGUUGUGAGGGGAAUGAGGGAAAAAACAAGGAGAGAAAUGAAUUACAGUAGAUGGGGUAGAGAGAGAAGAUGGGAGGGGAGGGGAGGGGGGAUAGUAGAGGAUAGGAAAGGUAGCAGAAUACAACAGUUACUAAUAGGGCAUUAUGUAAAAAUGUAGAUGUGUAACCGAUGUGAUUCUGCAAUCUGUAUUUGGGGUAAAAAUGGGAGUUCAUAACCCACUUGAAUCUAAUGUAUGAAAUAUGAUAUGUCAAGAGCUUUGUAAUGUUUUGAACAACCAAUAAAAAAANUAUAUUCCAAAAUGACCAAACUGUGAAAAGAGUAGCAUUGCUUUUCAUUUCUGCAAAUGUCUUGCUUUCUAGUUUACAAAUCUCUUUAACAGAUGGGUUCUCAGGCCUGUCCUGCUUUGAUCCACAGGACUAGGUUGUGGGGUUGAAAUAUACAUACGUCUAUAUGUGUACAUGCGCAUAUAUACCUAUGUAUGUUUAGUAUACGUUUGUGUGUAUUUAUAGGUAUGAAAAAAAAAACAAAACCAGCAUUACACAGAUGCCAUAAAAGUGUCUGUAGCCCCUAAGGAUCCUUGAACCCCACUUUAGGAACUGCUAAUCAGGUGAAUUUCCUCAGAUCUAGAUCAAGUUCUUCUUUCCUCAAAGUUGUAGAAGGCACUCAAGGCUGGACGUUUUGAAUGGAUCAUUUUGGAAAAAUCUAGGGAAUAAUCAACAGAGAGUAGCAUAAUGGAGGAAAAGAGUGUCCCCGAAAAGCAUUUGUGGGGAGACGGUGAUUUCUGGUUUCUCUUCGAAAAUAGACUCUGUCUGCGCUCAGGAGGCCCCAGCGUUUGGAGAGACCCAAGGAGACUGCGGGAUAAAGCUGGGAGGCCGCCCAGGUGAUGGGGUCCUGUCUACCAGAGCUUUCCUUCUAAGGAGGUUAGUCCUGCUUCCCCUCCUCUUUAUUUCACUGUCUGCAGGCCACCUCUUGGCUCUCAUGGUAAUGUGAUUAGCUGGCCUGUGGCCCACACCGAGACCACUGUCACAAAGAUCUCUGCUUCCUUGAGUGCACCUCUCCCCUGAAUGCCACAUCUUGUGUUUAUAGUCACAGGGGGCAUUGUUAACUCUGGGAUUCAAAUAGAAUGGGAUAUUUACGACACCCUCCCACCUCCCCCACCCCCAUAAAAGUUGAUUCAGGGAGACAUUUAGGGAAGAAAUAGACAGAAGACAGAUGUGUUGCCUUCCCCAGAUGCUGAGGAGCCUCAAUUGUUCUGCUUAUGUAAUGACUUUUUAUGGCUCCUCGCAAAUGCCUCUUUUGACUUUUAAAAAGGUGCCAAAGUCAAAUAUAGGUAGUUACCCAGAAUGUUUUAGUAAUCUCUCCGGACACGCCAGCUGGCUCAAAAUCCCGGAUCGGAGGAUAUGUAAUAAGCAAACAUCCCUUUCCGAUUUCAUGGACAUAGCUGGUUUCCUCGUGUUUACACGUACGACUGUCCAUCUUCCUACAAAAAGGGAUAGAGUCUUAUUUGGACAACAAACCCCUUUCCAUAAACCCUUAAUGAUUCAAUAAUUGUUUUAAAGGCAAUUUAUAUAAUUACAACAAGAAGAAAAUGAAAUUAAUGGAGAAUGUGGACCCCUACUUCUUUUCCUUUAAUGCAAAUCAAUAUAUCCAGUUAUCUCUGCAGGACAUAUUUGAUUUUAGUGAUUUUUAUAAUUUAGAUUAAGCUAAACAGGAAAAUGCCCAGGAUAGGGAGGGUUUUCCUGUCAGCAAUGUUGGAUUUUUGCCAGGCAUUGGCUCUGCUCUUCUCACUUCAAAGAUGGUUUGUUUAAUACUUUAACUCACUCGAUUGAUGUCAGCAUGUGGGUCAGCAACCUGCACUUUAGCAUGGACUUAGGAGGGAUGGUAGGGGAAUAUUGGGUGCUCCAAAGACUUGCCCCCACUGCUAUUUCUCUUAUUCAGAACCAGGCACUGAGAAGCAAAUCGAAGAUUGAUAGAAAAAUGCCAAGAGGGCAGACGACCCGAACAGCUGCAUCCCAAGCAAAGAAAUCCAUCUCCACUUACAAGGACCAGUUCCAAUGUCUUCUCACCUCUGAACAGUAAAGUUUAACAAACAGCUCUUUGGGGAGAAAAAAAUAAGCCCUGAUUUGUAGCGUUGGCCAUUCCUAUGUAAACACUGGCACUGGGCUGACUUCAAGCCACCAGUGUGAUAUCACUAUACCUGGAGUUGGGAAGGGGUGUUCCCCACCCUGCUCUUGCCCACCACAGGCUAGCUCUACACACCUCUGCUUGUGCUUCCACCUCUUUUUAUGAGUUAGAUGUCCACAUGCUUGUCUCUGCCGGGAAACUGGAAGUGUCAGACAGGCAGAGAGUGGUUUCAAGUCAUUGCAUCAUUUAUAGUGCCAGGCACAAGAAUCCCACAAUAAAAAAAAUCCCCUGUAAAUGGUCACCCAUCAAAUCAUUGGUACUAUUUUUAUUAUUGCAGUUGUUAUUGUUUAAUUAAAAGACACUCUUAUAAGAGCUUUGCUAGUAUUGUCUCACUUGGUGAUGGUGAACAUAAGAACAUAUUAGAGAGCUUUAAUGUAUGUGUUGAAAGAAUAAAAGAAUAAAAAGAAUAAAAGAAUGCCCAAUUGGACUCGAUAUCGAGAAACCAGGAAAGACUGUUUCUGUAUUUUCUCACCCUAUCUCCUCUUGCUCUUCCCCAUGCCACAGAAAACUUCUUCCUCCUCAUUCCCUCUCCUCUUCCCACACCAUUCCACCCCUCCACUCCCUAUUAGUUAUGCAUAUAAGCAAAUAUUUACAAAUGAUCCUCAAUUGUGAGAGUGGUAAAAUUCUUCUUUAUCUCACCUGCAAUCAUCAAUGUCUCUUCCCUGAAAAAACA
rnacentral:lncRNA from 1 species